GAUUCUAAUUGUUUUACUUUUCUUUUAAUGGUUGUUGUGGAUUGUGGCUUGAUCUCUGGGUGUAGAGAUUCAAGGGAGAUUGCUUUCAAAAUUAUACGCUUUGGUGGUGUAUCUUUCGAUUUCAUAUCAAUAAAGGUUUUUCUUGAUCUUUUUUUCAGCAAAUCUAUCGUUUACAGAAUCAAUCAAACGUUAGAGGAAAUAUAACAACAACAAAAUAAAGUAUCUCAAGUGAUAAGGUUUUAAGCAGAUAUAAUCUUGAAAGGGCUGGUGACUGUCUUCUUCUUACUUCAUUCUUCAUAGUAAGGUCCUUUUCCAGAUAACAAAUCUGGGACUCGCCAUGCCGCCGAGAAUCCCUCAGAUGCUAUUGUAGACGUUUCGGGCUGAGCGAGCAUGAUUCUUAUGUUCUUCUCUUUGAGAUAUAUCAUACUCUUUUUGAAUUCUGGAUCACCCGUUAUCAAGAGAAAGACUGAGAGAAAAGGGCGAGGCUUUCUGAUGAGGUUGUGACGAGCCUUGCCAUAGAUAUCUCUCGUGAUCAUGAGAUCAGCAGCCUCCGGUUUAGCUAGAUGAAGUUUCAUAUCAAUAUUCAUUUUUCCCAAACCCGAUCUAGCCAACUCAUUACAUUGCUUGCACACGCAAUAUCGUUCUGGAGCAUAGCAGAACUUCAUAAAGCGUGGCAUGUCAUCAUUAGAAAAUGGAGAUUUUAACCCAUAGAAGCUAAUAUAAUCCAUAACGUAAUCUUCAUUAAGACCCUUCUGAGAUUUGUUUAGAGCUUUGUCAAUCUGCUUUGUCAUAUCCACAACGUAAUCUUCAUUAAGACCUUUUGAGAUUUGUUUAGAGCUUUGUCAAUCUGCUUUGUCAUAUGGUAGUCUUGCAUCGACAUGGUUUUUAGGAAAUGCAGCGAACAGAAGAGGAUGAUGACGACAAUGCCGAUUAAUCAGGUUUAUCGACAAAACGAUAAAUCAGCCACCUUGAAAAUUAAUCAGCCGCUUAGUCGCUGAUCAGUCCAACUGCCGCAAUUUUGUAUUCGAAUAAUUAAUUUUAAACUGACUAAAACAAAUUUCUUAUCGGGCCUAUUUACAAGCCCAAUUGGAGUGACCGAACACAGACUUCGAUCUUUGAUCCGCGACCUAAGCGAGAACGUUUCAAUUGAAGCACAGAUGAAGACUCUUAUUUAUAGUGCUGCUUCCCCUUCUCAACUAUCCAAGUUUGUCGAUGUGGGACAAACUAAAAGACCAAGUUUUAAAAAUAUUGUCAUGAGUAUUUAUGGGUUUGAGUUAAAUAUGGAUCCUUAAGACACUAAUAUAUCUUUUAGAUCUAUCAUUAUGCACAUAUUUGUACAAACUUUAUUUCAUAUAUGUUUAAUAUAAUAAAAUUAAUAUUAAAAAAAAUAAUAAUAAUUAAAUUUUAUUAUUAAUAAAAGUUGAAGGUAAAUAUUUCUCAGAUUUCAAGUUUCUCAUUAUUUGUAAUUUCAUAUAGCUAAUAGUGUCUCAAUCUUUUUGUUGUUUUAUUUUGGACAGAUUCUGAGGUAACUUGAAUUCAAAAGAAGAAUUUUUACUGAGUAAUAUCAACUGUUUUUUAGUUUUGCAUCAUGGAUUACAGAAUUCAGAUUUAUUUAUACAAGAGUUUGUGGAUAAUAUAAAUUUAAUAUGGUGUUCCAAAAUGUUUAUUAUGUUAUUUUUACGGUAAAGAAAAAAAAUGUAGAUUGGUAGACACAAAAAAUAUUACCACAUUUCACCAAUUAUUCGGGGUCUCACGUUAAUGCGGAUAAGUUUUCUUAUUUGUGUGUUCUAAAAAUAGAGAAACAGCUAUAUAUCAUAAUUCAUCUGCCCUUAUUAUGUAUUUUCAUGUAAUAAUAUCUACGAUAUCAUAAUCUCUACAGUAUGAUCUUAUAUAUAUUCAUAUCUUUUUUAUAAUAUCAUAAUAUUCACUGUAUGAUCCUAAGUAUAUUAAUGUCAUAAUUUUUUUUUAAAAGUAUUUGGCUAAUAUAGUAACUAAAAAAAACUGAGAGGCAUGUGAAUAACCAGAUUCAGCCGAUGUCAAUGCGCCACACAAAGUAACCACACCAUCCAUAUCAGAUAUUUAUGUAUUUUUGAAUUUGAGGUCAAUAAUGUUAGUAAGACUUUAGGCAUGUCAAUGUAGAUAGGUCUCUUUACCAUUAGACUCGCCAUCUUGCAGGUUUGGUCCCCAAACAUUAACACGGAAUCCUUCUCUGUCUUUUCUUUAAAUAUAUACUCCAUGUUUUUUUUUCUCUUUUUUUUAAAUACUUUACACAUUAUCUUGAAAAUUUUCUAGAAAUAUUAUGUUAAUAUAUUAAGUUGGUAUAAAUUCUUACACUAUAAUUCUAAUAUCUUUUUCCUAAAGCACCAGUUAUAUAAUUGUAAGAAUAAUUAUUAUAUGGGUUUAUAUACAAUUGUAAAUCUUUUAGUUAUGAUUAAUUAAUUAAUUAUAUGUAUUAUAUAUAUAUAUAUAUAUAUAUUUAUAUAAUUGUAAGAAUAAUUAUUAUAUGGGUUUAUAUACAAUUGUAAAUCUUUUAGUUAUGAUUAAUUAAUUAAUUAUAUGUAUUAUAUAUAUAUAUAUAUAUGUGUGUGUGUGUUUAACGCGUAAGUAAGCAUACUGACCUGUAAAUUGCAAUUAUGAGGGACACAUCUUGUGAAAUCUGUUUAUUGAAAGUUUAAUGCAAAACUUUGUUUCUUGCAAGCCAAAACUUCAAUCUAAUGCGAGAAAAUGUAUUAACUCUGAAUAGCGUUAACAUUUCUGAAAAUCCAACCAAUACUCUUACAAAUAUUAUUGGGAAAUCGAUUAAAAACUAAUUAUAUUUUUAAUGAUGUCUAGAAUAUUUAGAACUAUCAAUAAUGUAGUAUUUUAUCCACACAAAAAGUUAAGAAAAUGGUUUAGUAAACUGAUUGGGGAGAGAAAAUGAUACAAGAGAGUAGAUAGUAGAUAAAUAUUUCAAUAGUCAGGAGAGGACUAAUGUAGGAACAUAAAAAGACAUCAACGUACUUAAUUAGUAUAUUUACAUAUAUAUAUAUAUAUAUAUAUAUAUAUAUAUAUAAGAUAAGCAAAUAUCAUGCAUGUGUGAAGAGCCAGGAGGUCCAAUAUGAUAAUAACACUAACAGUACCACAACUCACAACGCAAGAACUCAGGUGAUAAAAGCAAAAGAAACAAUAAGAGAAGAGAAGAGACGAGUCUCACAACUAUUCAAGUGUUAUGGACUUAAAGCACCUCCAUCAAUGAGCUGGUGUAAGGGGUGCUUAGUUAUUUUUUAAAAAUAUUUUUGUGUUUUAUGAACAGUGAAGAACACUUUGUUGAAAACCUCUUCCAUCAAUGAAUCCCAUAAUAAAAAAAAAAUCUCUAAAUUUGAAUGCAACCCUAACCCUAAUAAUUUCAAUUUACGACUACAAUUAUGAAGUCAAGAGUCCAAAACCAAAAUUCAAUCAUUUUUUAGCAAGAGAAUCGAAAGCCCCAAAUUAAUUUAAAAAUUUAACGAACCCUAGGGCAUCAAAUUAUGGGCUGAACCAAUUAGGUUAAGAAAUUGGGGAUAAUUGAAUAUCAAUGCGAAAAUUUUACAGGGAUGAAGAGAAAAAGCUUUUAAUUUAACUUCAUUUUUUACUUACAAAAUGAAAUGAGGAAAUGUCAUCUAUUUAUAUGGGAAAGCAAACAUAAACUACCACAAUUAAAAGGUAAAGAAACCUACACAUCAUCACAUUAAGGAUAGGUAAAUAUUAUGGUGGAAAAUCAUUUCCUUAACACUCCAUGUUGAUUAUCCAUCACUAAUAACAUAUUACGUACUGUCUCGUUAGAAACCUUAUCAUAGAAAAACUCAUUGGGAUAAAAACCAUGACAAGGGAAAAAGAGUACAAUAUCGUAAUCUCUCUCUCAAAGUGAUGAAUAUAAAUUUUCUUCAUAGAUCUUGCGGUCGGCGCAUUCCAAUACUAUGGACAUGUCUUCUGAAUGAUGUAGUGGGAAGCGCCUUAGUAAAGAGAUCUGCUGCAUUGUCACUCGAGCGAACAUAUUGGAUAUCCACUUCUUGAUUCUUCUCAAGUUCUUGAGUGUAAGAGAAAAAUCUUGGAGGAAUAUGUUUUGUACAAUCACUCUUGAUGAAACAUUCCUUGAGUUGAGCGACACACGCAGCAUUACCUUCGAACACUUUUGUUAGUUCCGUAUCGAUGACUAUUCCACUUGCACCUUGUAUAUGUUGAGUCAUAGAUCGGAGCCAUAUGCAUUCUCUACAAGCUUCAUGGAGAGCAAUGAUUUUCGCAUAAUUUGAAGAAGUGGCGACCAAAGUCUGUUUUUGAGAACGCCACGAGAUCGCUUGGAGAUAACGAAAGAUAUGCUUUAUCCCAUUUCAAUGCCUGCGUGUAGGAGAUGAGCUGUAUCUUGCAAGUAGAUUAGUAGCAAAAGCUAUAUCUGGUCGAGUACAAUUUUCAAGAUACAUAAGCCCACAAUAGCGCUCAUAUAAGGUACUUCAGGACCUAAUACAUUUUCGCUAUCUUCACAAGGUCGAAAUGGAUCCUUGUUAAUAUCAAGUGAUCUAUUGACCAUUGGAGUACUCAACGGAGUUGCUUUAUCCAUUUUAAAGCGUUUUAACACCCUUUUGGUGUAAUUUGAUUGAUGCACAAAUAUUCCAUCUUGGAAAUGCUUAAUCUGGAGCUUUAGACAAAAUUUUAUCUUUCCAAGAUCUUUCAUUUCGAACUCUUCUUUCAUGUGAGUUCUUGCAUCAUCAAUCUCCUUUUGAGUUCCGAUUAUGUUCCGGUCAUCGACAUAUACAGAAAUGAUCACAAAUCCUGAUGAGGAUUUCUUAAUAAACACGCAAGGGCAUAUCGCAUUGUUGAUGUAUCCUUUACUCAACAAGUAUUCACUCAAGCGAUUAUACCACAUGCGUCCGGACUGUUUUAAUCCGUAAAGUGAUCGCUGUAAUUUGACCAAACAUAUAUCUUUAGAUGCUUCAGGCAUCUUUGAUCUUUCUGGGAUCUUGACUCCCUCUGGGAUUUUCAUAUAUAUAUAUCAUUAUCAAGUGAUCCGUAUCGAUAUGGAGUCACAACAUUCAUAAGGUAAAUUUCUAGAUUUUAAGAUGCCGUUAGGCUCAUUAAGUACCUGAAUAUGAUUGCAUCUAUGACCGGGAAAUAUGUAUCUUCAUAAUCAAUUACCGGUCUUUGAGAAAAACUUUGUGCCACAAGUCGGGCUUUAUAUCCUGUGAUCUCGUUUUUCUCAUUUCUUUUUCUCACAAAGACCCAUUUGCACCCGACUGGCAUUACAUCUUCUGGUGUAAUGACUAUAGGUCCAAAGACAUUUCUUUUAUUCAGGAAGAUUAAUUCAUUUCUCAUGGCCAUCUGCCAUUUCUCCCAGUCAGGCCUUUUUCUGGCAUCCUGACAUGGAUCUUGGGUCUGGAUCAUCAUAUUCAUUAUCAAUUUCCUUGGAUACCAAAAAGGAGAACAUUCCAUAUGUAUCAUUUAUUUCACUUCUAGCCCAUAAUGUCCCACUUUGGGCGAAGUUAAUGGAAAUUUCAUACUUUUCAGUAUCAUGUUCGUCUUCUAGACGAACUUCUUUAACUGGUUCUUCUGGAACAUCUUCAUGUAUGUCUUCAGGACCUAUAUCUUUAUAUGGUUCUUCUAUAACCUUUUCACCAAUGUCUUCAAGACAUUUUUCUUUAUUCGGUUCUUCUGGAACCUUGUCUCCCAAUUUCUUUUUCUUUCGAGGAUUUUUAUCUUUCGAGCCCAUCGGCCUCCCGCGCUUUAAUUGAAUAUGCGGUUCAUUUGCUUUAUUCCCAUCAAUAACUUGUUCCGGAACAUUUAUUUUUGAUGGAGCAUUAGCAGCGAGGAUAUAUGAUUUCGUCACCCUUCUCGUAUCUGUGAACGCAUCAGGUAACUGGUUUGCCAAACUUGUGAAAAUGUAUAAUUUUCUGAACUUCAACCUCGCGUUGAUGGGUAGGGGGAUCAAGAUAAGCCAAGAUUUGUGUACACCAUGUGAUAUCCUUUGGCGGUUCUCUUGAUCCUACCCCAACGCUGGGAAUUCAUUUUUAUCAAAGUGGCAAUCGGCAAAACGUGCUGUAAACAUAUCUCCAGUUACCGGUUCAUGAUAUCUAAUUAUACUUGGUGACGUAUAGCCGAUAUAUAUUCACAAUCUCCUUUGUAAACUAUAAUUGAUAAAGUAAGAUUUGUUUGUAAAGCGAUGAAGAGAAGAAGCUUUUAAUUUAACUUCAUUUUUUACUUACAAAAUGAAAUGAGGAAGUAAGUGUACCAAAAACGCUCUCAGGCCCUCUUCCCGAGACUUUUCCAAAAUGUUUGAAUUUUGCUUUUGACAUUCAACAUCUACUUUCUCCUUCCCAAAUAGCUAUGCUUUUUUCCAAUCCGCCGGACCUACGCCAACCUCCACUAUGCCUCGGGCCCCAAUUCUCGUCAAAAGUCUCUUUCUCUAAGGUCUUGGAAGUUAAAAUAACCUGAAACAAGUAACUUUUCCAUGAGCUGGCCUUAGCUAAGACUUAGAAAGAUAGCUAAAAACAGCUCUUUCCUUGCGUGUAUUCUCAAGUAAUCCUCUGUACCUGCAAAAAUCAAAGCCGUUGGCUCAAGACGAAAAGCUUAUUUCAAUUAACCCUACCUCAAGCUCACGAGCAUACCGAAGACCUCUCCCUCGUGGGAUGCUUCUGUUAUUCUAUAAGUUAAAUCUCUGUUUCUAGCAUUGUGCUAAGUCUUAACUCAUCUGCUACAAACUCAAACCAGAACCUCCUUCUCAACAUCCCAGAUCUAACAACUAUGGAGAACAACAAGAAUCUUGCUAACAAGAACCACGACGAAGAUGAAGAAGAGAUCAUCGACUUACCCCAUGUGGACAACUCUCAACUCAUCGCUCGCUUCAACUUAAGUCUGGUUGGACGCAUGUUUAACCAAGAUAUCCGUAGCACAGAGGCUCUUAUCACCUUCAUGCCUCGACAGAACAUCUGGGACGUCGAAGGCAGAGUGCACGGGAUAGAUCUUGGAAACUCCCGGUUCUAGUUUGAUUUUGAUUCGGAAGCCGACCUUCAGCGUGUGUUCAGCAAGCGCCCAUGUCACUUUAACCGCUGGUCUUUCUCCUUGGAACGUUGGAUCCCUCAUGUUGGGGAGUCUUUCCCCAAUAACAUGACUUUCUGGGUUAGAAUCUCGGGGAUUCCUACACACUUCUGGAUGGAAAAAAACUUUCGUGUCAUUGGAAAUCGUCUGGGUGAUGUAAGAGUUGUUGAUGCGCGAGCUGCAAGGAUCCAAAUCUCCUUGAAUGCAGAUAAACCUCUGAGAUUCACAGCAAGGGCAAGGCUACAAUCCGGCGCAGUGAUUCGGGUAGAGAUGAAGUAUGAGAAGCUCGAUCGUUGGUGUCUCACCUGCAGACACAUCUCUCACGACGAGAGAACUUGCCCCCUGCUCACUGAAGAUCAAAGACGAGAGAAGAUGAGGGAAAGAGAGGCUGAGAGGAACUUUGCUCAAGCAUCGAGAGAAGACCUGAUACGCGACAGAGAUGUUAUGCAAAUGAGAAGACAAGCAGGCCAGAUAUCUCUACCCCUUCGUGACAGAAACGCCCUCCCUUUGCAGGAAGAAACCCGCAAAAUCUCGACAAAGACCAAAGAAGGAAGCUCCAACCCACUGAAGGAUAAGAAAGGGAACCAAAUACCCAAGGAAAGGCGCCCUUCUGACAGAAGACCUGAUAGCGUAUGGAACAGAAUUGAAACAAACUCUGGUUACCGUUCUGAAUCAAGACGGCACGAAAGAAGACAUGAACCCAUAGAUGAAAUUCAUCCCAAUAUCAGAGAAGACUCAAGAGAUAAUGAACCUGGAUAUCGAAAGAGACGAUAUGAAGAAUCUUUUGCAACAAGCAAGAAACAUAUGGGAAAGAACAAGCAGAAAGAGAUACCUGGAAAAGACCAUUCCUCCGCUAAACCUCCAUUGGCGAGAUUCCCAAAAAUGCCGGCUAAGUCUUCUGACUCUCAGAGAACUAUCUCUGAUCCUCCAGCCAAAGCUAAACAGGGCGAGAGCCACCCCGCAGAUCGGCUAUCAGGAUCCGGGAUUACUGGUUUACUAUUUUAUCCGACAAGAUAUAAAGGAGUGGGAUGUUCCUCUUCUGAGGAAUUUUUUCCAACCCGAGGAUGUCUCUCUGAUCCUAAGACUGAGACCUAGUCGUAUCUGUAUCCUGGAUGGAUAUGCAUGGAACCAUUCAAGAUCAGGACUCUAUUCGGUUAAGACGGGCUAUGAUCUAAUUAGGAGGACAAAAUUACAACGGGAACCCACAAUAGUUGGGGAACCGAGCAUUACGGUAUUGCAAAGUCAGGUUUGGAAAACCCGCUCACCCUGCAAAAUGAAGCACUUCAUGUGGCAAGCAUUAUCAGGAUGUGUGGCUACCUGCCAGAAAUUAACAUACCAACAUAUUGGAUCCGACACAAGCUGUCCCCGUUGCGGUGAUCACGAGGAAUCUAUAAAUCACCUUUUGUUUUUAUGUCCCCCGGCAUUUCAAGUCUGGGCGUUAUCGGACUUCCCGUCCCUUUCGGGCCUCUUCCCAAAUACAUCUAUUUAUCAAAAUAUGAGCUUUCUCUUUUGACAAACAAAAGAGAUAGGCAUGACGGAUCUUCAAAAAGACGUAUAUCCUUGGAUCCUAUGGCUCAUUUCAAAAGCAAAAAACGACAAAAUUUUCAACGGAAAAUCAAUUUCCCCACAAGACAUUUUGAUCUGCGCAAAAGUAGAAGCAGAGAGCUGGAGAAUCGCGAACCAACCAGAGGAAGCUGAGGAUACACCCGGUGGGACCCCAGCCCCCCCCAGAUACCUACCCCCGCGAACCACCGAGUUCCAACAUGUUGGAUCGAUGCCUCUUGGAUUGAUCAUGGCCCUGUUAGUAGACUCGGGUGGAGCCUGGUGGACGCUAGGGGAGAUGACGUGUAAGGUCAACAAGGAUGCCGCAGAAGCUUCUCCGCCCUCCAUGCGGAGAUGGAUUGUCUCUUGUGGGCUAUGGAAGUCCUGAGUGAACGGCACAUAAGAGCGGUGUUUUUUCUGACCGACUGUUCCAAUCUAGUGAAUAUGACAGAAUCCCCAUCUGAUUGGCCGCUUUUUACGUCCGAGCUAGAAAUUUUACGUAUCCUUCGUGAGAGCUUCUCAGAUUUCACCAUCCCCCACAUCCCGAGAAGUGAAAAUGUCCGGGCAGACAGUCUUGCAAAAAGAGCCUGAGCAAGAUGACAAAUAUUCACCCACAGCGGCGGAAGAAACCGGCGGCUCCUGGGCGGAGUAUCAGGUGUACGAAGACAGUCAUUUAGCUCGCAUGUAAUCAACUUUCCUCCAUGGCAGAAAAUGCAUCCCCUUCUUCUUUAAACUCUGCUUCGCCGCCUCUGAGACCAUUGAAAUGAUCUGACGAAUCCGGUCAGACUUUCUGAAGAAGAUGAACGGUAAAGAUUAAAGCAACGACUUGUAAGCAUUCGUCUGGCGUGAGAUCUCGAACUCCGAUCGAAAAUCCACGUCGAUUAGAACCCUCUCACCGUUCACAAUCACAUGUACUCAUACUCACCUGAAAAUUUUUGAAAUUAAAAAAAAAUCAGACAAAAAAUCAUGAGAAUCGAAGAAGAAGAGAACCGGUUUAAUGAAAAUCGUACCUGACGGUAUAGACCGAGUUUUAUUCCAUUUCGAUUUACAAAUUGAGGAAUCGUAUCGGAGAGAUGAGAGUCCAUCGACGACGAUCUUCCUCAAAUCGACUUUCCUUUUGAUUGAUUUGUUCUUCUCAACAAUCUUCGCAACAUCAGCUAACAGAUUCCUCUCAGCGACGCUCGCGCAUGGAAUCAAGCUCUGUUCAAAAACCAUGGACGAUGAUGAAUUCGCUAAGAGAUAAAUACCUUGAAAUGGUCAUAAGCGUCCUUAAGAGAAUCGACGGAGAAACCAAACCAAUCGAAUUCGUCGUCGGAGCUAUUCGUCGACGGUUGAAACAAUUGCAGCGAUUGCGUCCGUUUCUACCUUGUUUCUUGUUGGUUUCCUCCAUGUAGUUUUGAACCAUCUUCGAUAAAGCGACAAAGCUAGGCUCGAACUCCGUUCCGACGCCGUCUUCGGAGGCGGCAGUAAUGAGUGAUUUAUCCGAGUUUGAGCUUCUCAGAACAUUCGUGAACGGCCGAUCUAAGAGACGAUUGAGGCGAGAUUUGAGCACUGGUUUUCGUGAUUCCACACGAGCUGAGUCUCUACUCGCCGGAAAAUCGUUGUAAAUUGGCUGGAUCUUCAUCGGAAAAGGCAUUGAUUAUAGAUCUAAUCUGAUUUCUCUCUCGGCGGAGUAAGGACCCAGUCACUUCUCCGUUCAAACAACAAAUAUAUUCAAAAGUUCACUCAGAAACUUCCCCAGAUUUUAGAUCUCUUUCCAGGAAAAUUUAAAAUCGGAAACUCCACAGCUUCAAAACCUCACAAGAAGAAGAGAAGAAGAAACAAAAUCUACUAAAAAACCUCUCAGCUAUUAGAAAGUAGAAACUACCAAGUAGAAAAACUAUACGAUCCUCUGAAAAAAUCAGUAAGAAAAUCGGAGAUUCUUAACGCCGACGAUUUUCACGGAAAACAUGACGGAAAUUGUCGGAAACAUCGUUACUAAGAACGGUAAAAGAGGAAAAAGUGACCGGAUUACUCAUUUUCCCGGCGAUAUUUGAUUUUCCGGAGAUUGAUUUAAUGUUUUGAGACAAAUCAAAGAGGUAAAUUGUCUAUUUGAAAACGUAAUUCUCAGUUUUUUUUUGUGUCCUUCUAGUUGGAGUAAAGCGAGAUUGGUUGAUUAUAUAGGUGCAGAGAUUAAAUGAAUUCGGAAAAACCUCUCUCUGUUCUCUCUCUCAUACCUUUCACAGAGAGAAGGCGAUUUUCCUUUUUUGCUUUUUCGUCUGUUCGAUCGGAAAAAUAAAUUAUGGUAUAACCAGAUCUAUAUGUAAUAAUCUUUCCGUUCUACGGAUUUCAGUUUUCCGGCUAUGACCGGAUUUUUCUUUUCCGUUUGAAUCUCCUUUUGCUUAUAAGCAAUUGGUUUUUUCGAUUUCGGACUUCGUGCUUCUUCUACAAAUCUGGCUGCUUUCUUUUAAGAGGUGGUAAGGUGAUGGUGGUGAAAGCUCCUACUCCAACAUUUGGCAUCGUCCUCUCAUGGUUGGGAUGUUAAAUCUCCCUUGGUUCCCUCACGAAAAACCUUUUUCAAGGUGGAGGGUAAUAUAUAGUCAUGAGUCAAAGAUGAUCGAAUGUCUUUUUAAUGGAGGUGAGAAGAUUUUUGACCACCCAAGAUCUUUAUUGUAGAAGAAGCUCUAGCGGCGGUUCACAAGCGUCAUCGUGAAGCCGGAAGCUGGAGGUUGAAAUGUCGUCGGCGGCGAGUUCUAGCGCACCAGAAACUAAAGCGGUUGUGCAUGACGAUAUGAUCUUCAUCUUGACACGUGUCAUUGGUGUUUAUGGUUUUUACAUCUGUCUAUAUAUGUGUCUAAAACUAUCUUUGUAUUUGGGCCGAUAUUAGGCCUUGUUUGUACCAACGCUUUACCCCUUUUGGGGUUUCGUUAUAAAACGAAUGACGACAACAAAAAAAAUAUAGGUGCAGAUAUUAGACCGAAGCUGAAGAGACCAAAGAAGAAAAUGGUGACUAGACAAGAUGAUGCCACGUCAUUAAAUUACGUGGUAUUGUUUUUGGUUUGACAAAUUGUGGGUUUGAUUGGUGGCAUUCAACCGCACUGUUGGGAGGAACAGUUGGAAAAAUGCUACCAAUCGGCAAAGUUAGUUGGAGAAAGCAUUUAAAACCUCAAUUGUAAUCAGCGUUUGAAAUGGACCGUUGAAAGAUAUUUUUUUGACGAUUGGAAAUUAAUUUUAGGACAAUUACAAACUAUUCAAAAAAUGACGUUUAGAGCAAACGAACGGUUGUAAUCAGAAUUUUUUUAAUAAUAAAAUUUUUUAGUUUGAUAUUAAUUUCUAAUAAAUAAACUAGUAAAGUUAUAUCAUUCAAUUCAAUUCAUUCGACAAAACAAAAAAAUAAAAAAUAGAUGUGUUUGUAUAUUUAAAUCAGUCCAAAUCCUACAUUGGUUGUGCAUCUCUUUUUAUAAUCAUCUUAUAGAUUAUGAAUUAUAAAGUAUUAGAAAAAUAUUUAUAAGACAAUAUUUAUGCAUUUUAAAGUUAUUAAAAAUAUUUAUCAUCACUGAAUAUUGAAAAAAAUUGUUCCGUUUAACUUCUUAAAAAUAGUAAAAUAAUAAUUAUAAUUUUUGUUUACUCAUUUCAUAUGAUAGAGUUUAUACUAUGUAAUAUUGUAUCAUUUUAUAAAUAAUUAUCUAAAAAAAUUGAACAAAAGGUUUUAUACACUUAUACUAUUCAACCGCUGUAAUGCUACCAAUCAAGUAUGAUUUUCAACUAUUUUCUGUUAUAAACUCAUCUUUUCCAACCGCUUUCUCUAAUCACCUCUUUUAUAAUUGUCUCAGCUACAACCGCUCAAAAUUCUCUAACCGUCUUAUUUAAACGGAGUUAUCAAUCGGACCCCUCUCCAACCGACCUUAUAAUACAUCUAAAUCAUUCUUUCUGUUAAUCGAUAUCAUAGUACAUCUAAAUCAUUCUUUAUGUUAAUUUUUUUCGAGAUUGAGUUUAACUUUCCUUUUUAUUUUGUAAAUACAUUGUAAUUUUGUUUUAUUUUUUAAAACCUUCUAGAUUCAAAUUUUAAAAUUUGCACCAAUGUUCAAUAUUUUUGUUUAACCACUUAAACAUUUUCUUCAAUUGAAAAAAAAAAAUAGUAUAGGGAUCGAAAUUAGGAUCAUUAAUUUCACCAAUUCCAUUUAAACUAUUAACGGAGCUUAAAGAUGACGUAUAUUACCAAUAUUGAUUUGUCCAAUUUUCUUUGACUAAUUUUUUUUGACCAAUUUUCUAAUUGGUUUGUUCAUGAAAAAAAAAUUAAAUGGUUUCUAAAUAUUGACUACAAGAACAUUUAGUCGUCUAAACUGGCUAGAAAAUAACUUGAAAUUAACUUAUCUUCUCUAUUAAAACAGAAGUAUGUUUUGUGUUCAAACUGAUUUUUUUUAGUUUUCUACGAUUCUACAAGUGGAUAUCUAUUAUUUCUGUUGUCAAAAAAAAAUUUUAUAUUAUUUAUUAGUUUUAUUUAUUUCCAAAAAUUAAUAAAAUAAUAUUUUUAAAAUAUAUCUUUGAACUUCAUUUUAAAUUUUUUAAAUUUUAAUUCCGUUAGUUUAGAUUUUCUAAGAUAUAGUUAGGAUUAAUUAUCAAAAUUACAAAAUCAGUUGUUAUUAUAUUUACAAAAUAGUAAAUAAGAUAUUAACUAUUUUUUUUAAAAAAUAUUCAAAUUUGAAUAAUAUUCUGAUACUGAUAAUAAACGAAUACUUUUAUUAAUAAAUUAUUUUUAAAAUUUAAAUAUUUAAGAUUUUAAAAAUAUAUUAUAUAUAAUAUGAAAAGAUAGGGUAAAAUUAUGUUUUCAUAUUCAUAGUCUUUUUCGGAUCAAUCGAAUGGGCGUGUUGAAAUUAUGUUUUUAUAAUCGUUGUCAAAUUUAUUAAAAAAAAUAAGUUUUAAAAAAAUAAAUUUUAUUUAAACACAAAAAUAAAUUGUGUUAUUUACUAAAAAAAUAUUGUAUAUAAAAUAUGUAAAUUAUAAUAUAAACUUAAAUUAAAAAAACAAAAUUUAUGACGCAUAGGAUAGAAUCUAGUAUCCUUUAAAGAGGACUUUCGUAACAAGCACAAGUACAACGCUCCAUUUGGUGCCUUUGAUUUUUUUUUUCUUCCCGUGGUAAUAUUGAUCUAAAUGCAGACUCAAAAAAAGAAAAUCAAACAUUAUAAACAUAACUAAAACUAAAGAUACGAUACAACAACUCAUACUCAAUCGAAAAACCAAAAUCAACGAAAGACACUAUGAGAAAAACGUGACUUUUUCUAUUCAUAUAUAUAUAUAUAAUACUAGUAAAGAAAAGUAAAAAGUAACAAAGGAACAGUACUUGAAAUAAAAAGUAACAAAGGAACAGUAUUUUAAUUAUUUUUGUUAUUUGUAAUGGUAUAUCAUAUAAGUCUUAACUAGGAUACUGGUCCGCACGCAUGUGCAGACUUGGAUUUUUUUUUUUUUAAAUGAAUGUAGUUGGACUGAUGUUAAAUACAUUGAAAGUUAGUAACUUGGUUUCUGAUGGAUUCAAAUUGGUAUAUAGAUCGCGACGAUUUUUAAAAUAUUUAGUCAAAGACCAAUUUUUUGUCAUAUAUUAAUAUAACUUUUUAUUUGUUACUACUGACAGAUUUUGGGGGCAACAAUAGUAGAAUAGCAAUAAAAAUGUAAAGUAAUUAUAAUUGUUCAAGCAUAAUUAAUCUUACCAAAAUUUUAGUCUACAUGCUUAUAUACGCAUGUACUACUGGUUGUACAAAAAUAUUAUAUUUAUUUAUCAUAUAUAAGAAUUGGGAUAUUGAUGUUCUUGAUUGGUAUAAUUUGCUCCAAAUCAUGAUAAUGAAUACUAAAUGUAAUUUGAAGAUAGGUAAAUAAUUCAAAUAGGUAGAGUUCGCCCUAACUCUUUCUCUCCCAGGCACAUUUCCCCAAGCAGCCGCUCGACUCAGUUUCACCGAUCUAACAUCUUCUUCUCCGUCCAAUCUUCUUGCCGUCGUUUCCUCCUCUCUUCAGCUGGGUUUGGGUCGAGCCUUGCUCCGGCCUUGGCCGUGAGCCAAGCGCCGGCAAAUUAUUAUUCUCUCCGUCGUUACUCUCACUUGUUUAUGUACUUUUGAUUUAUGCUCGCUCUUGCCGUCACGUCACCACCAGCUCAGUCCCACCAUCUCUGCAUCUGCGUUUCACCGCUGCACCCUCUCUCCGACACGCCAUCUCACCUCUCUCCUCUAUUGCCAGCUUUCCAUCUUGCCUCCAUUCGCUAGAUUUGUCAUCUUCUUCGCUAUAUCUUCUUGUGAUCAAUCUUAGACAGUUUCGAGGACAAACUGCUUACAAGCUAUCAAAAGUUUCUCUAGUAACGAAGUCGGCCGGUCCUGCUUCCAUGUCUGCAUCUUCCAGAGCAUUGUACUACUUUACUGAGACGGUCUUCCAUGUUCCCCUUUGCUCACUCUCUGCUUCUUUUUCUUUGGUAAGAAAUGGACUGCUUGUUGAGAGAAGGAUUUUGAUCUUGUGGAAUCCCGAUAUAGUUAGUUAUGUUCUGAAGCCUGUUUUCUCCGGCAUUCCCACGUUUUUGGCCUUUAAUGGCAUCCAUGUCGUCUUGCUUGAACGGCAGGAAGGUAUUUUGUGUAAAUCCAAAGCAGCUUUGCUUGUGGUAUCCGUACCUGUCCAUAAAUCUUUCACAAAGUUUAUUUGCCAAAUUCAGGAUCAUUUGAGUAAAUCCAAGGUGUUUUCGCAUAUUGUGUCUUUAUCCCAAGGCUUUGAACGCCUUGAACUCGUCAUUUCCAUUUUAGUGGCAGACGAUCUUUCUCAAGCUAUCUCUGAAGAAUUAAGGAUAAUCUCGGUAAAAUCCGACUCCUUCCAUUUGGUUGAGCCAUCAUCUAAGGCUUUUGUGACUUCGAACUUCGUGGUAUUCUCGAGGAUUCCACUCCUCACCAGAAGAUUUGUUUUCACUUCUAUCAAGUUUAUCAUAAGUUUAUUUUAUGUCUUUGCUGCUUCCUUCGGGAAUAACUCUUUGUAUGCGGUUCACGCAUCUUUCGUUUCGUUUGAUUAAUCGAAGUAACUGGUUGCACAAAAAAAAAAAAUACUAAAUGAAAUUUUUGUAUUUAGUAUAUUAUAUUAUGAAAUUGGCUAAUGUUUGUAAUAUAAUAAAUUCUAGUAUUCAUAUUUUUACAAAACUAUACUUAAAUGCCGAGAGUCUUAAUAUUUUGGCUACUACAAAAAAGUCAAUAGUGGUUAUAAAAAAGUUAUACAAUAUAACAUGUUUUUUAACUAUGUUAUAUAAUCAAAUAGUUUGUAUUAACUAUUAAAGUUACUGGGUUAUUACUGUUAUUAUACGGAUUUCAACUUAAAUAUUGGAAAUAUAAAUAAUAUAAAAUAAAAAUCAAUUUUUAAUACGAAUUAUUCUGUUUAAUUUGUUUUUUUUUUCUCUUCAUAAAAAGUAGGCUUUCUGUUAAAAAUAAUAUGAAAUCAGCAACUUUUUUAAUCAAGUUGAAAUCUUUCUAAUAUCUAUUAAUAAAGAAGUUUAAUGUUAAUUUAUGGAAAAUAAAAUAUUUUAAACUCUAAUUAUAAGCUUAUAUAUAAUACACCUGUUUAUACUUCCAACAGAUUGGAUGACUAAACCAUAUACAUCGAAGUGAUAACAAUUAAAAAUCUAAAAAAUAGACAACAAAAAAAAGAAGAAAGAAAUUAUGAUAAUGGAGUUUUUCGUCACAUAUGUAACUUUCUAGCUUUAUACCUUAGACAACUAGAUUAAUCUACCUUUUAUUUUAUUUUAUUUUGAUGCUUCGUUAGUACAUAGAUGGGCAUGAUGGCCUAAUUGCAUUUGACUUUCUUUGAGACUUCACGACACCUACCUUUCUUUCUUUGACUCCUAUCUACAUCUUCGUCAUGUAUGAUCUAUUAUAUCGAUUUCAUCUUCAGUUCAUACAUACAUAAGAUCUUUUGUAUCAAUUUGCAUGUUCUUUGUUUUUAGACAUCUAGCAAAUAGAACAGAAAAUCAUAUCAUAUAUCAAUUGAGUAAUACAGGAACUACCCACGUUUUGUGGUAUCACUAAUUUACAGAAUUAGGAUCAUAUUUGAAAAGGGCUGGUAGUUCCUAUAUUACUCAAUUAGGAAGAUUAUUUAAUUUUUGACUAUGGGUAAGUGAUAAAAUGAUAUAAUAUCUAUUGAAUUGCUUGUGUGGCUGAUGCUCAUUCUCCCUUGAAAAUAUAAUAAAAAAAAAUCUCAAUUAAAAAUUAUUCAAGUUGUCUUAGGUAUAUCCAUUUUUACUAGGUGUCAUCUAUCUCGUAGUUGUUCUAGUUGUACCAGUUGUACUAGUUGUCUUCUUAUCUCUUAGUUGUACCAUUUGUACCAGUUGUUUUCUGGAAAUUUGGUGAUGAACUCAGGUUUAAUUAUAAUUUAUCUAAGAUUUACUACGAUUCAACGACUAUAUUAUGAAUUUUUUCAUGCAAAUACCUAAUCGUCAUAUAAAACUGGGUUACAACCCGAUUUGCAAUUAUAAUCAAAGAAUUUUUAAUCAGGAAUUAUUUAAAUUGUCUUAGUUAUACCUAAUUGUAUCAGUUGUCCUCUAUCUCAUAGUUGUACCAGUUGUGCUAGUUGUCCUCUUAUCUCUUAGUUGUACCAUUCGUACCAGUUGUCCUUCUCUGCAGAUUUGGUGAUGAACUCGGAUUUUAAUUCCAGUCUACCUAAGAAUCACUAUGAUUCAACAAUGCAAAGACCUAAUCGUCACAUAAAUUGAGUUACCAACCUGAAUUGUAUACCAAACAAGUAAUUUUGGCAAAUCCAAUCUCUAAAUUGUGAAAUCCCUAAAUCUUCAAAUAAAAACCUAAUUAGGUUUUGAAGCUUCAACAAUGGUGGUGGGGGGAGGAGAUAAAGAUAAAAAAAACUGAUUGCAGAAGAUGAGGAGGCAAAAUUUGAGUGAUGAAGAUUUGAUUUUGGUGAUUUUUAAAAUCCAUCGUUGUGUUUGACGAUGAUGAAGACGAGUAAGAAAGAAAAAGAAUAAUUAAAGAAAAAGAAUUAAAAGAAUUAAAAAAAAUUGUUGGAGAAAAAAAAAUUUAGAUAAUUAAUAAAUAAAAAAAUAAAACAUGUUAGUGGGUGGGUUUGAUCCUGGUUUUAUUGUAAAUAAAAAGAUAGAUAAGGAGAGUGAAGGAUUUUCCACGUUUUUCCUUAUUAAAAGAAAAUCAAAAUGAAAUUCUUUAUUAGAGUUAUGGAUUUUGAGCUUUUUUUUACAAGAUUAUGGUUUAUCAGCCUGCCGCUCCAGUUUCUCCUCCCAGUGACGAUCAUCGGUUUCAUCUCCUCUAGUUAUCGGAGGGAAUGUUAGUUUUCUGUGUCAAAACGUUAAUCUCGUCUUCGCUUCCUCAGAAAUCCCAAUCUUCGGCUAUCUGCUUCUCUUCCAACACAAUCUCCCUUCUCUUUAAAUCCCGACUUCUGAGCGACUUUAGCUUCAAGCUGAACAGGAUUGCGAUGGAUAACACUCGGGAGUUACAGACAGAGGCGUCUCAGUCGCUAUCCUCGUCGGCUUCCGGUGAGAUACACGUUUUAGCUGGUCCAAUGUUUUCCGGCAAAGCGACAACGAUCCUACGGCGGAUGCUGGCGGAGAGGAGAACUGGCAGGUUUGUAUCUUAAAUUCCAUUUUAAUUUCGAGAUGCAUUGUCCUCAAUUUUGGUUUGUUGUUGAUGAUUUUAGUCUCGAAAUGGAAAUCCAUACCUUAUUUAUGAACGCUGAGACAUAUUUAUAAUUCUGCUCGAAAUUGAUUGGUUUAUGAUCAUCUCUUAUAGGGUCGUAAUUCUGAAACUUGCAUUGAGAGAUCAAAGUUUGGUUCACAUGUAACAUGUUCUAGCUUUCAGGUGGAGCAUCAGAGAAAGAAAGAGCAGCUGGGCUGUGUGUUACUGGGAGAUUGAAAGAAGCUGUUGGGCUAUUAUGGCUUAGCGGGUCACAAGUCGAGCCUGAUACUUAUGCUAUGCUGUUACAGGAAUGCAAACAAAGGAAGGAAUAUACAAAAGGGAAACGAAUACAUGCUCAAAUGGUUGUUCUAGGAUUUGCUCCGAAUGAGUAUUUGAAAGUUAAGCUGUUGAUACUGUACGCUUUAUCAGGGGAUCUUCAGACAGCUUGGAUCCUCUUUCGUAGUUUGCUAUUGAGAGAUUUGAUCCCGUGGAACGCAAUGAUAUCAGGGCAUGUGCAAAAGGGUCUUGAGCAAGAAGGGCUUUAUAUGUAUUACGAUAUGAGACACCACAGAGUAGUUCCGGAUCAGUAUACCUUUGCUUCAGUGUUUAGAGCGUGUUCUGCGUUGGCAUCGCUAGAACACGGUAUGAGAGCCCACGCUGUCAUGAUAAAGAGCCGGAUUAAGUCCAACAUUAUAGUCAAUAGUGCGGUUGUUGAUAUGUACUUCAAAUGCAGCAGUGUCUCUGAUGGGCACAAAGUAUUUGAUCAGUUCUCCACCAGAAACGUGAUUACGUGGACGUCGUUGAUGUCUGGAUAUGGGUAUCAUGGACAAGUUUCAGAGGUGUUAAAGUGCUUUGAUAAGAUGAAGGAAGAAGGUUGUAGACCGAAUUCUGUUACAUUUUUGGUGGUUCUCACUGCGUGUAGCCAUGGAGGUUUAGUUGAUGAAGGCAGGGAGUAUUUCGAUUCUAUGAAGAGAGAUUACGGGAUUGAGCCUGAGGGACAACACUAUGCGGCUAUGGUUGAUAUCUUAGGGCGUGCUGGUAGGCAACAAGAAGCGUACGAGUUUGUUAUGAAGUCACCGUGCAAGAAACACGCUCCGGUAUGGGGUUCUUUACUUGGAGCAUGCAGGAAUCAUGGGAAUGUGAAACUGCUAGAGCUCGCUGCUACGAGAUACUUCGAGUUGGAUCCAACGAACGGAGGGAACUACGUGGUGUUUGGCACUGGAUACGCGAGUUGUGGAUUAUUGGAUGCUGCUUCAAAAGUUAGGAGGAGAAUGGAGGAUGCGGGAGUGAAGAAGGAUAUCGGGUAUAGCCAGAUCAAAUUACAAGGGGAAGUUCAUAGGUUCAUGACGGAUGAUAAGUCUCACAGACUCUCUGGAAAGAUAUACAAGAAGGUCCAAGAGAUGACUUCAGUAUUCAUGGAUGUUGACUGCUAUCCUGUUUGAUAGAUUGGUUUGUCAUCUUGUCUUUGACUCUGUGACCAAAGCAACUCGCAGUGUCUCCAACGGAUGCUGUAGCAGGCUCUCUCCGGAAAAUCUGUCUUGAAUCAAACACAAGUUUUGGUUUUGGAGCAUUAAGUUUAUGCCUUUAUGGGUUUAGCAGGAGAAUGUGAACAUUCUGAUACUGACAUGUAUCUGAAAUGGGUGUAGCAGGAGAAUUGUGGUCUGAGUUUGGAUUCAAUAGGAGCACAUUCUGAUACUGAAAUGUGAUUGGUAUUGAUGGAAAACUCAAAUUUUAGGCGAAUGUAGAUGCCUCAGGUUCUCAUUAAAUCGGGUAAAGUGAAGGUAUCCUCUGUAUUAGGCUCCGAGAAAUCUGUGGGAAUGUGAUUAUGGGUUUAGCUGUGGGAAUGUGAUUAUGUAAAAUAACUGAGAAUGGUAGUCCGAGUUAUAUUCAAUAGGAGCAAAUUCAUCUGAUAAUGGAUGUGUUUAGAUGUAUAAUGUAAACUCAAUUCUUUAGAAUAAUACUAAAGAAGCUCUUUAUUCUCAUUUUAAAACUUAGUGAGGUGGAACUGGGUCAACUCUAAUUGAGACUGCAGGUGGUUUAAUUUCAAGAUUAUGUAACUCAUCCAUUUUUGUUGUUAUCGAGUGGGAAGAGCUAUUUCCCCACCAAUCUCCACGAAAGCAAAGCUUAAAAUCUAUUUUCCCGUGAAAUCGAUUUCCCCAUGUAAUUGAAGUUCGAAAUAAAAAAUUCCACAAAAAUCGGUUUUCAAAUGAUUUACUGUUUUUUAAUUAAUUUUUAACCGUAUAAAACUGAUAUUAAAAAUAUUUCCAAAGGCAACCUUAAAUAUUCAAAUAUGAAGUUUUGUUUAUUCUAAAAACAGCCUUAAAACCUCAAAUUUUGAGGUUUUGAAAAUAAAACCUUAUACUUGAAAUUUCACUAUUCAAGAUCUCAAAUUUGAGGUUUUCAGUUUUUAUUUGUAUUUUAGUCAUCACAAUUAUAUAUUUCAUAAAUAUUCAUUUUAUUUUUUUAUGUUUAUCAUUUUAAUCCAAACAAUUUUAUAUCUCACAUAUAUUUUAUAUUCAUUUGUAUAAAUUCUAUAUUUGCAUAUAAAAUAAAAUUAAAAAUACUAAUAUAAAAGAAAUAUUACAGAUAAAAAAAUAAAGAAACUCAUUUAACACUUCAAAAAAGCAUUGAUUGAUCAUAUUUUGAGAGCAUUAUGAAAAUAGUUUUGUUGAAUAAUUUGGUGUAAUGUAAUAAUUUAAAAUUUAGUUUGUGUAUUUUAAUUAUUAUGUUUAUGUACUUUAUCUUAUAAUGUAAUGUUUGUUUUAUUAUAAAGUCUAUAAUAUAAAUUUAGUUAAUGAUAUUUUUAGUGUAUGUUUCUUUGUUAUUUAUAAAGUUAUAUAAUUUUUAAUUAAUAAUAAUUAAAAUUAAAGAGGGAAAACGACCUAUUUCACUCUGAUAACUAUUACAUAGUAACUAAUCCCCCCAGAGUUUGGACCUCAUCGCAUAUCUCCCCAAUACAAAGUUUGUAAACUUUUUUCUCCUUAUUUGCAUUUUUCACAACGUAUUUAACCAAAACCGUUGAAUUCGAGGGUUUGUGAGGUAAACCAGAUAGAAUACCAGAUUUGCUCGAUACCAGGAUGAUUUUAAAACCCGACCAAACUUGUGACCCGACCCAGUUAACAUCCGAUUCGUAAUCAUAAAAAACCCGACCAAAUGGAUAUUCCCAGUUCCCAAAUCGAUAUCGACAAACCCUAAAUCCCCAAAUUCAUCCCCAAAUCCCCAAAACGCUUCUAUUUCCAGGUGUUCUUAUAUGAUUUCGAACUUUCUCAGGUCGAUUACAUAGGAAAACCGAUUUGAUAGGUGUUUUUUUGUAGAUUGUGAUGAUGAGCGAAGAAUCUGGAGCGAGUGCAUCAUCAGCUGGUCGAGCAAGAGGAAGAUACGUCGGGGUGCCUAAGAGAUGUUCGUGUGGGGAAGGAAUUGUAGCCAGAAUCUCUAAGUCGGACGCAAACCCAUAUCGGAGAUAUUACCGUUGUGCAUUCGCCGUUGAACAAAAGGUGAAUUAGCUUUGAUUUCUUUUGCCAUUGUCUAUUAUGCGAUUUUGAAGCUAAAUUGAUUGUCAUUGUUUAUUAUUGCUGUAGCUUGUCAAUGACAAUCACACUUUCAAGUGGGUUGAUGAAGCAUUGUUGAAUGAAAUUGAGGCAUCAAAGUUGAGAAUAGAUAGACUUGAAGGCCACGUUAAAGCAAGUGCAACAGAUUGUAUGGAGGCUGAGAAGCACAUGUAUGAGAAGUUACAAUUGAAGCUAGAGUCAGAGAUUUCUGAACGGGUAGAAGAAAGGAUUCUUGAAGCCAAAUCGGAUAUGAAGAAAUUGCUGUUGCUUGUGUGUUUUGGAGGUGUGAUAAUCCUUGGUUGUAUUAAACUUGUGUGAAGCUUAUUAGUUGUGUCUUUGUAGUUCUGGUAAUUGUCUUUGGUAUUAUGUUUUAAGCUCAUUUGGCAAACUUGUUUGAAGCUAUUUGUUGGUUUGUUUCUCAUGUGGUAAUGGUAUUUGUUUUAGAGUCACUUGGUGUAUUGGUUUGUUUUUUUUUUAACUUGUGUUGAUCGUAUGAUCCCUAAAACUACAUUAAAUGACUAAACAAAAACAUAAUCAUAAGAUAACCAUAAUAUGACAUAACAUUAAGACAACCUCAAUUGUUUAUAAACCUAGACAUCAUGCAUAGCCACAGACCACAACAGAUCCGAAAAAUAGAUGCCAAAGAAAGAAGGUUUUAUAACAGGUUCCAAAACACACACAAAACAGGUCGAAAAAUCAAAGAAAACACAACCGCAUAAACAUCUUCAUUCCCCAAGCUGAGUAAGUACUCCUUGUGAACAUUCAGGCUGAGAUGAUGAUUCACCUUGAGAAGCCUGUAAAAUCAAAGAAAAAGUGACAUUAGUAUAUAGAGAAGAUGAGAGAUUAGUAUCCAAAAACACACAAAGAAGAGAACAAACCAAUGUUUUCUUUUUAUGAAACCGUGAAUUGUGAUUAGCGGCUCCACAAACUUUACAAUGCAUGACUCUUUUCAGCAAUUUGUCUUUCUUCUUCACCAGAGAUUCAUUCUGCCAUUUUCUUUCUUUUUUUAUCCGCCUUAGUAACCUUAUUCCGACCAGGCAUAUCUGGCACCACAGGUUGAACAAUGGACGGUUCUUCUCCAACAGGCCAAAAACGAGCACCUCUAACUGGAAUAACACCAUCUGUGUAAGUAUCUCUCCACAUCUCAGUCCUAAACCAAUGGCAAACGUAAUGCUGAGCUUCAAUACCCUUCUUGAUCAUCACACCGUAUGCAUGUUCACAGGGGAUCCCAGUGAUUUGCCAUCUUCUGCAGCUACAGGUCCUCGCCGUCAAGUCAACUCGAUAAGCACACCCGUGAAGUCUUAAAUAAUAUUGCAUGUUGGUAGAGGGUUGGACAAUGCAUUUCGAAGCAUCCUCAAGCAACUCAGCUAGGUACUUACUCACAUAUGAAGUACAAAUCCCUUGGUGGUUAAUAGCUUUGGCACUUCUCUUGGCUAUACGAACCAUUGCUAGUUUGGCAAUGGUCUCUAGCAUCGGCACUAAAGCUUUAUCUCUAGCUUUACCUGAAACAACAAUGAAACACAACUAUUAAAAAACAUUCAGGUAUAAACAUNNNNNNNNNNNNNNNNNNNNNNNNNNNNNNNNNNNNNNNNNNNNNNNNNNNNNNNNNNNNNNNNNNNNNNNNNNNNNNNNNNNNNNNNNNNNNNNNNNNNAGAGAUAGUUUCCUACCUAUAGAAUUGUUAAACGAUUCUACGGAAUUGUUUUCAACAUCUUCACAAUAUGGUCCAAGCUUGUAAAAUGCCCUACACCAAGUCUUCGGCUUUGUUCUCAUCAAAUCAGCAUAGACAGCAUUGUCAAAGAGUUCUAUCUUCCUCAAGUUUUCUCUGAAUUCAGGUUUGUUGUAACUCCAAGCUAGAUUCCAAAUCAAGACCUCAAAUUUGAGGUUUGCAGUUUUUAUUUGUAUUUUAGUCAUCACAAUUAUAUAUUUCAUAAAUAAUCAUUUUAUUUUUUUAUGUUGAUCAGUUUAAUCCAAACAAUUUUAUAUCUCGCAUAUAUUUUAUAUUCAUUUGUAUAAAUUCUAUAUUUGCAUAUAAAAUAAAAUUAAAAAUACUAAUAUAAAAGAAAUAUUACAGAUAAAAAAAUAAAGAAACUCAUUUAACACUUCAAAAAAGCAUUGAUUGAUCAUAUUUUGAGAGCAUUAUGAAAUAGUUUUGUUGAAUAAUUUGGUGUAAUGUAAUAAUUUAAAAUUUAGUUUGUGUAUUUUAAUUAUUAUGUUUAUGUACUUUAUCUAAUAAUGUAAUGUUUUGUUUUAUUAUAAAGUCUAUAAUAUAAAUUUAGUUAAUGAUAUGUUUCUUUGUUAUUUAUAAAGUUAUAUAAUUUUAAUUAAUAAUAAUUAAAAUUAAAGACUAUGCAAUAUUUUAAAUUUGUGAGAUUAGAUUUGAGGUUUUGCCUUUAGAGACAAACAUCAUCAAACUUGAAGUUGUAUUUGGAGAUGUCCUAAACCGGAUUUAGACCAGAUUAAGACUGAUUGCAAUUAUGAGCCGAACACAACCAAUCUUCUUCUUCUUCUUUUUUCCACCAUCUUAUAUACCCAUAAUCCUCAUAAUUUUGUGAUUUUAUCAUCUGGAUUUUCUAUUUUAAUUUAUCUCAUCUUCACUUCAAAUUUUAUUCUAAAAUUCUCUCCAAGAAAUGAUGGUUCAUCGAUGACAAUCUCCAAGAAAUGAUGUUUUUAAUGAUGAUUCAUUUGUAUAUGAAAUAUGGGAAGAAGAGAGAUCUCUUCAAAUGAUUAACAGUAGAAAAAGACGAGAAGACAAGGAGGUAAGCUUUUAUGAUGCGAGUUCAUGAAAUGACAUUCUCAUCUCCAUUUCCUACGUGUCUAAUUAAUUUAUUCUUGUGUUGUUAUGCAGCUGAAGGGCAGAGCCUGGCAGUAUCAUGGGACGUGGGAAGAAGUAUAUAAAAGCGCAAAAAGGGCAGAUCGAAGUAAGAAUGAUCUACAUGAGAGGGACGAAGGUGAGUUGCUAAGAACGGGUCACCCUUUAUGCAUAUAUGAACCUUAUUUUGGUGAAGCAACCUGGUCGUUUCUACAUCAAUAUCCCCUCUAUCGUGGUGUCGGCCUGGUGAGUUCCCAUGUGCAAUAUAUACUGUUGUUGCAAGGAUACAAAAGAGGGAAAUAUUUCUAGACUGAUGUGAGUGCAUCAUAUUGCAGUCAGUUAAAGGACGGAAACCUAGGAUGGAUAAAUAUCGAUGCAUCUUCACGUCUUUCGCUUUUCAACAAUCAGUACUAUCGCGAUGCAUUUGGCGACUUUGGAGCACUUUUUGCAAUUCAAACAAGAUUAGCCGUUUACACAAAAAUUCGUGGAUUGGGUUUCAGUCCUAGAGAGCGACUGCCAGAAAGGUAAGUAUCUUUUGUGCAUAAAAUAAUCUUUCAUCAUUGCUAUAAUAGAAAUGUGUAUCGAGUAAUAAUAUUUACUUGUGAUGUAAUUCGGGACCCUUAAACAGGAAUCUCUAUCCAAGAUUGCUGAGGACGCAUUACUUAAUGCUAUACAAACACGGAAACACGGAGAUGCCUUAUAAUUUUUGGGUUCACAUGGACAAAGAUCGGAGACUCUCUCUGAAGAAACCCUUUUGGUCGCUCUGUGAUGUCAUAAAUGUUGGGAACUGCAGGUAAGACACUACAUAUAUCUUAAAACAUAGUUUCGAUAACAAUGUUUGAGGCUUUUUGCUCGUACUGUUUGCAAUUUAUGGGCUUGGGUCAAGGUUUGCUUUCGACGAAACUUUGAAAAAAAUGUACAGUAUCAAGAUUUUGGACUCACUGCAACCAAUGCCCGAGGACGGAUACGUGGUCUGUGAUACAGAGCUGGGUACCGACAACAAGAUCCUUCUUAGAGUUUCUCAUGUUCUCAAGGUGUUUGCUUGUUAUUGACUGUCUCAGUCUGAUCCUAAUUGGAAAAAAAAAAAAAGUACUUAGAGGGUGUGAGUCUCUUGUUUGUGGGAUUCAUUGGAUGGACAGAUCUAUGAAGAACAUCAUCGAACAAACCGUUGCUAUCUGAGUGUAACUAAAGUAAGAAAUCCACUCCUUCUUCUUCCAAAGUUGAGAUAGGUUUAAGAUUCUAAUUCAGAUUAAUGCCUUUGGGUUUGGAUUUGAGUAAUGUGGAUACAGAGUGAGUCUCCUCAUCUUUUUUGAUGUUUAAGAGUGUUUUUUUGUGAUUGGUUUUAAGUAUCUGAUUUUGGGUUUUCUUUUUGACAAAACUUAUAAUGUGUUAGAUUAGCCAUGAUAUUGAUGAGGGUCCUCGGCUUAAAGUGGUGAAGAAAGAAUGGUUUGAGGGCAAGGAUUGUCUUGACAUUGGCUGCAAUAGCAGGAUUAUGACUAUCCAUAUUGGUAAGCUUCUUAUACAUUUGCUAAACACAUUUUUUGAAGAACACCAAAAAAUCCUUUCUUGGUACAAGAAUCUAAUGCCCCUAUUAUAUUUGUAGAUGUGGCCCUUUGUGAGUAUUUGUAUAGUUGUAUGGUUUCUACUGAUUUGAUUUCUUUAUGAGAAUGCUAUGUCAAAGUGGGAUUGGACUUUCACUGUCUUGGAUAUGUCUUUGUUAACAUCUUGCUUUUCUUUUUCUUCAGCUAAAAAGUUUAGUUGUCGGAGCAUUUUUGGAGUGGAUAUUGAUUCAAGUAAGCACUAUUGGUUGUCGUAAUAUCUUCCAAGAUUUUUCUUUUUCAUAUAGGACAUAGAUUAAACUGUUAGCUACAUACGUUAUCAUUCAAGUCUGGAGAAAAUGUUUAGUUUGAUUUAAUCUAGUAUCUCAUAUUAAGUCUUAACUCAAGUGAAACACAGAACAAUAGAUACUUUAAUCCAGAUAUGUAUUUUGGAAGCUUUCGUAAGUUUUAUCUUUCUGAAGUAAUUGUUUCCUGUGCAUUGAACUAGAUUUCCUUUGGCUGAAGGUCGCAUUGAGGAUGCUCACUAACAUCGUAAGAAGUUUGUGAGAAUGCAGAAUUCUGAUAGGCCAAAUGAAAAGAAAUAUAGCUCAUAGGGUUUGAAGGAGGAAUCUGUAUCCCUUUCCAAUGGUGUGACAAAGUCAGACAACCAAGAAACUAAAAACCUGUCUCAGAUUGUCUCGUUUCAGAAAGAGAAUUUUGUUCAAACUCAAAAAUUUGACGACAAUCGUUAUGAUACAAUUCUAUGGUAAAUUUCUUUUUAUUUUUGCCUGUUCUUUCACUCUGUAAGUUUGGUUUCUUCUUCUUGGAGAGAAUUGGCAACAAUUAAGAACGUUACCGAUUUUUUUGGUAAUGCUCAUACCACAAAAUACGUAUGAAACUCAACUACUGUAAUUUAGAAAAUAUUUGCCUGAUGUUUUUGGCUAAAGAAUCUUAUGUCACUAAGCCUUUUGAUCUCACUGUUUCCUAAAGGAGGUCUCAUCUUUAGUUGAAAUCCAAAUACAAACAGUUUUAUUGAUGACAUGUUUGCUCUUUGAUGCAGUUUGAGUGUGACAAAAUGGGUUCAUUUGAAUUGGGGUGACGACAGUUUGAUAACCUUGUUUUCAGAGAUUUGGCGUCUUUUUAACCCAGUAGCUACAUUGUACUUGAAUGUGUCCAUUUUCUCUUCUCAUAUGCGCAGCAAUUGACUGUUGUCUUUGCUUUUAAGGAUGGUAUUUUUGUAAUGGAACUUCAGCCUUGGAAAUCUUAUGAAAACAAUCGUUGUGUUUCAGAGGUGUGUAGAACACAAAGUUUCUUUCUGAUUGCACAAGUUAGCUAUACAUAUAAAGAGUUUUAAUCUGUGUUUGUCUUCUGUAAUUUGCAGACAACUGCAAUGAAUUACCGAAAUAUUGUUUUACGUCUAGAGUAUUUCCAAAAAAUUCUUCUUGAUAAGGUACCCUUUCUACUCUAUUUACUUCCUUACUUUGCCUAUACUCUUACCUGAUCUAUAAAAUAUGCUAUGCAAGUAGUGUUGGCUUCUUUUACAUCAAGCUUGUCUGACUCAAGCAAAGGGUUUGAUAUACAAAUCCUUGCAUUCCAGAAAUGAACUUUAACAACUAGAAGCGUAAAUGAAGAAGAAUUUGAGUUUUUGAAAAGCCUUGUAAAAAAUCAAACUAAUUUUGGGAUUACACACAAGAUGUGAAGAAACAACUACAAGUCGCUUCAUAUCUGUAAAAGUCCUCAAGUAUAAAAGGAUUCUAAUUGUUUUACUUUUCUUUUAAUGGUUGUUGUGGAUUGUGGCUUGAUCUCUGGGUGUAGAGAUUCAAGGGAGAUUGCUUUCAAAAUUAUACGCUUUGGUGGUGUAUCUUUCGAUUUCAUAUCAAUAAAGGUUUUUCUUGAUCUUUUUUUCAGCAAAUCUAUCGUUUACAGAAUCAAUCAAACGUUAGAGGAAAUAUAACAACAACAAAAUAAAGUAUCUCAAGUGAUAAGGUUUUAAGCAGAUAUAAUCUUGAAAGGGCUGGUGACUGUCUUCUUCUUACUUCAUUCUUCAUAGUAAGGUCCUUUUCCAGAUAACAAAUCUGGGACUCGCCAUGCCGCCGAGAAUCCCUCAGAUGCUAUUGUAGACGUUUCGGGCUGAGCGAGCAUGAUUCUUAUGUUCUUCCCUUUGAGAUAUAUCAUACUCUUUUUGAAUUCUGGAUCACCCGUUAUCAAGAGAAAAACUGAGGGAAAAGGGCGAGGCUUUCUGAUGAGGUUGUGACGAGCCUUGCCAUAGAUAUGUCUCAUGAGCAUGAGAUCAGCAGCCUCCGGUUUAGCUAGAUGAAGUUUCAUAUCAAUAUUCAUUUUUCCCAAACCCGAUCUAGCCAACUCAUUACAUUGCUUGCACACGCAAUAUCGUUCUGGAGCAUAGCAGAACUUCAUAAAGCGUGGCAUGUCAUCAUUAGAAAAUGGAGAUUUUAACCCAUAGAAGCUAAUAUAAUCCAUAACGUAAUCUUCAUUAAGACCCUUCUGAGAUUUGUUUAGAGCUUUGUCAAUCUGCUUUGUCAUAUGGUAGUCCGUUGGUGCUGGAUUUCUGUUGAGAUCCCAAAGCACCUCCACUCUAACUGGAGAGGGAGAGAGAUUACGUGAUUGCAUCGACAUGGUUUUUAGGAAAUGCAGCGAACAGAAGAGGAUGAUGACGACAAUGCCGAUUAAUCAGGUUUAUCGACAAAACGAUAAAUCAGCCACCUUGAAAAUUAAUCAGCCGCUUAGUCGCUGAUCAGUCCAACUGCCGCAAUUUUGUAUUCGAAUAAUUAAUUUUAAACUGACUAAAACCGAUUUCUUAUCGGGCCUAUUUUCAAGCCCAAUUGGAGUGACCGAACACAGACUUCGAUCUUUGACCCGCGACCUAAGCGAGAACGUUUCAAUUGAAGCACAGAUGAAGACUCUUAUUUAUAGUGCUGCUUCCCCUUCUCAACUAUCCAAGUUUGUCGAUGUGGGACAAACUAAAAGACCAAGCUUUUAAAAAUAUUGUCAUGAGUAUUUAUGGGUUUGAGUUAAAUAUGGAUCCUUAAGACACUAAUAUAUCUUUUAGAUCUAUCAUUAUGCACAUAUUUGUACAAACUUUAUUUCAUAUAUGUUUAAUAUAAUAAAAUUAAUAUUAAAAAAAAUAAUAAUAAUUAAAUUUUAUUAUUAAUAAAAGUUGAAAGUAAAUACUUCUCAGAUUUCAAGUUUCUCAUUAUUUGUAAUUUCAUAUAGCUAAUAGUGUCUCAAUCUUUUUGUUGUUUUAUUUUGGACAGAUUCUGAGGUAACUUGAAUUCAAAAGAAGAAUUUUUACUGAGUAAUAUCAACUGUUUUUUAGUUUUGCAUCAUGGAUUACAGAAUUCAGAUUUAUUUAUACAAGAGUUUGUGGAUAAUAUAAAUUUAAUAUGGUGUUCCAAAAUGUUUAUUAUGUUAUUUUUACGGUAAAGAAAAAAAAUGUAGAUUGGUAGACACAAAAAAUAUUACCACAUUUCACCAAUUAUUCGGGGUCUCACGUUAAUGCGGAUAAGUUUUCUUAUUUGUGUGUUCUAAAAAUAGAGAAACAGCUAUAUAUCAUAAUUCAUCUGCCCUUAUUAUGUAUUUUCAUGUAAUAAUAUCUACGAUAUCAUAAUCUCUACAAUAUGAUCUUAUAUAUAUUCAUAUCUUUUUUAUAAUAUCAUAAUAUUCACUGUAUGAUCCUAAGUAUAUUAAUGUCAUAAUUUUUUUUUAAAAGUAUUUGGCUAAUAUAGUAACUAAAAAAAACUGAGAGGCAUGUGAAUAACCAGAUUCAGCCGAUGUCAAUGCGCCACACAAAGUAACCACACCAUCCAUAUCAGAUAUUUAUGUAUAUUUGAAUUUGAGGUCAAUAAUGUUAGUAAGACUUUAGGCAUGUCAAUGUAGAUAGGUCUCUUUACCAUUAGACUCGCCAUCUUGCAGGUUGGUCCCAAACAUUAACACGGAAUCCUUCUCUGUCUUUUCUUUAAAUAUAUACUCCAUGUUUUUUUUUCUCUUUUUUUAAUACUUUACACAUUAUCUUGAAAAUUUUCUAGAAAUAUUAUGUUAAUAUAUUAAGUUGGUAUAAAUUCUUACACUAUAAUUCUAAUAUCUUUUUCCUAAAGCACCAGUUAUAUAAUUGUAAGAAUAAUUAUUAUAUGGGUUUAUAUACAAUUGUAAAUCUUUUAGUUAUGAUUAAUUAAUUAAUUAUAUGUAUUAUAUCUAUAUAUAUAUGUGUGUGUGUUUAACGCGUAAGUAAGCAUACUGACCUGUAAAUUGCAAUUAUGAGGGACACAUCUUGUGAAAUCUGUUUAUUGAAAGUUUAAUGCAAAACUUUGUUUCUUGCAAGCCAAAACUUCAAUCUAAUGCGAGAAAAUGUAUUAACUCUGAAUAGCGUUAACAUUUCUGAAAAUCCAACCAAUACUCUUACAAAUAUUCUUGGGAAAUCGAUUAAAAACUAAUUAUAUUUUUAAUGAUGUCUAGAAUAUUUAGAACUAUCAAUAAUGUAGUAUUUUAUCCACACAAAAAGUUAAGAAAAUGGUUUAGUAAACUGAUUGGGGAGAGAAAAUGAUACAAGAGAGUAGAUAGUAGAUAAAUAUUUCAAUAGUCAGGAGAGGAAUCUCCAAAUCCCCAACGACUAAUGUAGGAACAUAAAAAAACAUCAACGUACUUAAUUAGUAAAUUUACAUAUAUAUAUAUAUAUAUAUAUAUAUAUAAGAUAAGCAAAUACCAUGCAUGUGUGAAGAGCCAGGAAGUCCAAUAUGAUAAUAACACUAACAGUACCACAACUCACAACGCAAGAACUCAGGUGAUAAAAGCAAAAGAAACAAUAAGAGAAGAGAAGAGACGAGUCUCACAACUAUUCAAGUGUUAUGGACUUAAAGCACCUCCAUCAAUGAGCUGGUGUAAGGGGUGCUUAGUUAUUUUUUAAAAAUAUUUUUGUGUUUUAUGAACAGUGAAGAACACUUUGUUGAAAACCUCUUCCAUCAAUGAAUCCCAUAAUAAAAAAAAAAUCUCUAAAUUUGAAUGCAACCCUAACCCUAAUAAUUUCAAUUUACGACUAAAAUUAUGAAGUCAAGAGUCCAAAACCAAAAUUCAAUCAUUUUUUAGCAAGAGAAUCGAAAGCCCCAAAUUAAUUUAAAAAUUUAACGAACCCUAGGGCAUCAAAUUAUGGGCUGAACCAAUUAGGUUAAGAAAUUGGGGAUAAUUGAAUAUCAAUGCGAAAAUUUUACAGGGAUGAAGAGAAAAAACUUUUAAUUUAACUUCAUUUUUUACUUACAAAAUGAAAUGAGGAAAUGUCAUCUAUUUAUAUGGUAAAGCAAACAUAAACUACCACAAUUAAAAGGUAAAGAAACCUACACAUCAUCACAUUAAGGAUAGGUAAAUAUUAUGGUGGAAAAUCAUUUCCUUAACACUCCAUGUUGAUUAUCCAUCACUAAUAACAUAUUACGUACUGUCUCGUUAGAAACCUUAUCAUAGAAAAACUCAUUGGGAUAAAAACCAUGACAAGGGAAAAAGAGUACAAUAUCGUAAUCUCUCUCUCAAAGUGAUGAAUAUAAAUUUUCUUCAUAGAUUUUGCAGUCGGCGCAUUCCAAUACUAUGGACAUGUCUUCUGAAUGAUGUAGUGGGAAGCGCCUUAGUAAAGAGAUCUGCUGCAUUGUCACUCGAGCGAACAUAUUGGAUAUCCACUUCUUGAUUCUUCUCAAGUUCUUGAGUGUAAGAGAAAAAUCUUGGAGGAAUAUGUUUUGUACAAUCGCUCUUGAUGAAACAUUCCUUGAGUUGAGCGACACACGCAGCAUUACCUUCGAACACUUUUGUUAGUUCCAUAUCAAUGACUAUUCCACUUGCACCUUGUAUAUGUUGAGUCAUAGAUCAGAGCCAUAUGCAUUCUCUACAAGCUUCAUAGAGAGCAAUGAUUUUCGCAUAAUUUGAAGAAGUGGCGACCAAAGUCUGUUUUUGAGAACGCCACGAGAUCGCUUGGAGAUAACGAAAGAUAUGCUUUAUCCCAUUUCAAUGCCUGCGUGUAGGAGAUGAGCUGUAUCUUGCAAGUAUAUUAGUAGCAAAAGCUAUAUCUGGUCGAGUACAAUUUUCAAGAUACAUAAGCCCACAAUAGCGCUCAUAUAAGGUACUUCAGGACCUAAUACAUUUUCAUUAUCUUCACAAGGUCGAAAUGGAUCCUUGUUAAUAUCAAGUGAUCUAUUGACCAUUGGAGUACUCAAAGGAGUUGCUUUAUCCAUUUUAAAGCGUUUUAACACCCUUUUGGUGUAAUUUGAUUGAUGCACAAAUAUUCCAUCUUGGAAAUGCUCAAUCUGGAGCUUUAGACAAAAUUUUAUCUUUCCAAGAUCUUUCAUUUCGAACUCUUCUUUCAUGUGAGUUCUUGCAUCAUCAAUCUCCUUUUGAGUUCCGAUUAUGUUCCGGUCAUCGACAUAUACAGAAAUGAUCACAAAUCCUGAUGAGGAUUUCUUAAUAAACACGCAAGGGCAUAUCGCAUUGUUGAUGUAUCCUUUACUCAACAAGUAUUCACUCAAGCGAUUAUACCACAUGCGUCCGGACUGUUUUAAUCCGUAAAGUGAUCGCUGUAAUUUGACCAAACAUAUAUCUUUAGAUGCUUCAGGCAUCUUUGAUCUUUCUGGGAUCUUGACUCCCUCUGGGAUUUUCAUAUAUAUAUAAAUCAUUAUCAAGUGAUCCGUAUCGAUAUGGAGUCACAACAUUCAUAAGGUAAAUUUCUAGAUUUUAAGAUGCCGUUAGGCUCAUUAAGUACCUGAAUAUGAUUGCAUCUAUGACCGGGAAAUAUGUAUCUUCAUAAUCAAUUACCGGUCUUUGAGAAAAACUUUGUGCCACAAGUCAGGCUUUAUAUCCUGUGAUCUCGUUUUUCUCAUUUCUUUUUCUCACAAAGACCCAUUUGCACCGGACUGGCAUUACAUCUUCUGGUGUAAUGACUAUAGGUCCAAAGACAUUUCUUUUAUUCAGGAAGAUUAAUUCAUUUCUCAUGGCCAUCUGCCAUUUCUCCCAGUCAGGCCUUUUUCUGGCAUCCUGACAUGGAUCUUGGGUCUGGAUCAUCAUAUUCAUUAUCAAUUUCCUUGGAUACCAAAAAGGAGAACAUUCCAUAUGUAUCAUUUAUUUCACUUCUAGCCCAUAAUGUCCCACUUUGGGCGAAGUUAAUGGAAAUUUCAUACUUUUCAGUAUCAUGUUCGUCUUCUAGACGAACUUCUUUAACUGGUUCUUCUGGAACAUCUUCAUGUAUGUCUUCAGGACCUAUAUCUUUAUAUGGUUCUUCUAUAACCUUUUCACCAAUGUCUUCAAGACAUUUUUCUUUAUUCGGUUCUUCUGGAACCUUGUCUCCCAAUUUCUUUUUCUUUCGAGGAUUUUUAUCUUUCGAGCCCAUCGGCCUCCCGCGCUUUAAUUGAAUAUGCGGUUCAUUUGCUUUAUUCCCAUCAAUAACUUGUUCCGGAACAUUUAUUUUUGAUGGAGCAUUAGCAGCGGGGAUAUAUGAUUUCUUCACCCUUCUCGUAUCUGUGAACGCAUCAGGUAACUGGUUUGCCAAACUUGUGCAAAUGUAUAAUUUUCUGAACUUCAACCUCGCGUUGAUGGGUAGGGGGAUCAAGAUAAGCCAAGAUUUGUGUACACCAUGUGAUAUCCUUUGGCGGUUCUCUUGAUCCUACCCCAACGCUGGGAAUUCAUUUUUAUCAAAGUGGCAAUCGGCAAAACGUGCUGUAAACAUAUCUCCAGUUACCGGUUCAUGAUAUCUAAUUAUACUCGGUGACGUAUAGCCGAUAUAUAUUCACAAUCUCCUUUGUAAACUAUAAUUGAUAAAGUAAGAUUUGUUUGUAAAGCGAUGAAGAGAAGAAGCUUUUAAUUUAACUUCAUUUUUUACUUACAAAAUGAAAUGAGGAAGUAAGUGUACCAAAAACGCUCUCAGGCCCUCUUCCCGAGACUUUUCCAAAAUGUUUGAAUUUUGCUUUUGACAUUCAACAUCUACUUUCUCCUUCCCAAAUAGCUAUGCUUUUUUCCAAUCCGCCGGACCUACGCCGGCCUCCACUAUGCCUCGGGCCCCAAUUCUCGUCAAAGUCUCUUUCUCUAAGGUCUUGGAAGUUAAAAUAACCUGAAACAAGUAACUUUUCCAUGAGCUGGCCUUAGCUAAGACUUAGAAAGAUAGCUAAAAAAAGCUCUUUCCUUGCGUGUAUUCUCAAGUAAUCCUCUGUACCUGCAAAAAUCAAAGCCGUUGGCUCAAGACGAAAAGCUUAUUUCAAUUAAUCCUACCUCAAGCUCACGAGCAUACCGAAGACCUCUCCCUCGUGGGAUGCUUUUGUUAUUCUAUAAGUUAAAUCUCUGUUUCUAGCAUUGUGCUAAGUCUUAACUCAUCUGCUACAAACUCAAACCAGAACCUCCUUCUCAACAUCCCAGAUCUAACAACUAUGGAGAACAACAAGAAUCUUGCUAACAAGAACCACGACGAAGAUGAAGAAGAGAUCAUCGACUUACCCCAUGUGGACAACUCUCAACUCAUCGCUCGCUUCAACUUAAGUCUGGUUGGACGCAUGUUUAACCAAGAUAUCCGUAGCACAGAGGCUCUUAUCACCUUCAUGCCUCGACAGAACAUCUGGGACGUCGAAGGCAGAGUGCACGGGAUAGAUCUUGGAAACUUCCGGUUCUAGUUUGAUUUCGAUUCGGAAGCCGACCUUCAGCGUGUGUUCAGCAAGCGCCCAUGUCACUUUAACCGCUGGUCUUUCUCCUUGGAACGUUGGAUCCCUCAUGUUGGGGAGUCUUUCCCCAAUAACAUGACUUUCUGGGUUAGAAUCUCGGGGAUUCCUACACACUUCUGGAUGGAAGAAAACUUUCGUGUCAUUGGAAAUCGUCUGGGUGAUGUAAGAGUUGUUGAUGCGCGAGCUGCAAGGAUCCAAAUCUCCUUGAAUACAGAUAAACCUCUGAGAUUCACAGCAAGGGCAAGGCUACAAUCCGGCGCAGUGAUUCGGGUAGAGAUGAAAUAUGAGAAGCUCGAUCGUUGGUGUCUCACCUGCAGACACAUCUCUCACGUCGAGAGAACUUGCCCCCUGCUCACUGAAGAUCAAAGACGAGAGAAGAUGAGGGAAAGAGAGGCUGAGAGGAACUUUGCUCAAGCAUCGAGAGAAGACCUGAUACGCGACAGAGAUGUUAUGCAAAUGAGAAGACAAGCAGGCCAGAUAUCUCUACCCCUUCGUGACAGAAACGCCCUCCCUUUGCAGGAAGAAACCCGCAAAAUCUCGACAAAGACCAAAGAAGGAAGCUCAUACCCACUGAAGGAUAAGAAAGGGAACCAAAUACCCAAGGAAAGGCGCCCUUCUGACAGAAGACCUGAUAGCGUAUGGAACAGAAUUGAAACAAACUCUGGUUACCGUUCUGAAUUAAGACGGCACGAAAGAAGACAUGAACCCAUAGAUGAAAUUCAUCCCAAUAUCAGAGAAGACUCAAGAGAUAAUGAACCUGGAUAUCGAAAGAGACGAUAUGAAGAAUCUUUUGCAACAAGCAAGAAACAUAUGGGAAAGAACAAGCAGAAAGAGAUACCUGGAAAAGACCAUUCCUCCGCUAAACCUCCAUUGGCGAGAUUCCCAAAAAUGCCGGCUAAGUCUUCUGACUCUCAGAGAACUAUCUCUGAUCCUCCAGCCAAAGCUAAACAGGGAUUUUCUUCCCCGGGGCACACGCGUAGUCGACCAUUCCAUCUCUCCGUUACCAGCAAGGCAACAAAUCUGGGGAUAGGGAAGAUUGUUGAAACCGGUGAAUCUUCAAAAGCAGGCAGCUCAGCAAAAAAAUCUCCCACUUUUGAACCUGCAAUCCCAAUUGAAUCAAACUCUUUUGUAGGCCAACCUAAGCUUAGCAAUGCGAUGACUCUACCCCCAUUGGAACCAUAUAUCAACGAAAAUUGGUAUGAACAGACUCUUGAAAAAGAUAUAGAAGCUAUGAUUCUUACCACAUCAAAGCACGGCGACGAACAGCUCGAGUUUCUGAUGGAAGUGGUUAUGGACACAGGCGGAGACUUAAGGACCAAUCAUAAUGCCCCGAAGAACGAGCCCAUGGAUGAUGAGCUUAUGGAGGAUCCAGCUUUGCUCAUCAACAAUGAAACAAUUGAAGGCAUUGAUGAGGAAGAUGAAUGGAUGAAUGAUGAUGAUCUCUUUGAUGAAGGGGAACAGGACGAACUCCUGAAAGAUGCAGACAGCCCUGAGAACGACCAAAAGGAGAAGACCAGGAGAUAAUCGACGAGCUCACGAUAACAAAGGCGAAUCCGCCGAAUUUCCAGGUUGCUUCCUGGUACAGAAGCCCCGAAAAGACCGAGUUCGGGAUGAAACCGGCGGCGGAAGCGGACAAGAGCACCAGGGUGACCAGAAGAGAGAAACCGGCUCUGGGAUCGCCGGCGGCUCGCGGCUUAUCCCUGAAGAAGAAGAACUUUCCUCUGGGCCGUGUCUCUCCAAAGGGAAAGGAAAAGGCCCAAAAGCAGGUCCAGGCCCAACUGCAAAUCAAGAAGAUAAGCCCAAGGGAGAGAAGGGCUCCAAGGCCCAGAAGCAAAAACAAUACUCUGCAACCGGUGGGGAGGAAGCCCAAAAAUUGGUUAAACGCCAUCCAUGAAUGUGAUAAGCUGGAAUUGUCAGGGGGCGGGAGCCGAUCUGACGAAGGAUCACCUAGAAAAAUUGCACCAUUGUUUUUCUCCUCGUUUUUUAUUUUUAUCAGAAACUAAAAACAAUCGACUUUUUAUUCAAGAUAUGCAAAUAUACUUUGGCUAUGACCAUGUUUAUACCGUUGAACCGAGAGGUCGUAGCGGCGGUCUAGCCCUUUUUUAUAUGGAUGAACCUUCGGUUACAAUCUCCUAUUCGGAUGAACACGUUAUUGAUGUAGAAACAGUCUAGACGGACAUAAAAUCUUUUUGACGUUUGUUUACAGAGAUCUGGUCAUCAAAAACCGAGAAUAUGUAUGGGAACGUCUCACCCAAAUGAGUCUUUCCAGAAAAGAAGCAUGGUUUAUGAUUGUGGAUUCAAUGAAAUCUACGGAAACCAUGAGAAAAGGGGGGGGGGGGAAGUCGGAGACUGGAAUACUCGUUUAUUCCUUUCCCAAAUAUGUUAGAUAAUUGUGGGAUGCUCGAAUUUCCAUUUAAAGGAAAUUCUUUCUCAUGUGGUGGGAAAAGACGUAACGAAAAGGUCAAGUGUCGCCUUGACAGAGCGGUGGGGAAUGAAGAAUGGCAAUCAAUCUUCCCCCACACCUCGGUGGAAUACCUUAAAUUAUGGGGUUCAGAUCAUCAUCCCGUGAUGGCCAGAAUCCAAUUGAAUAAUCGAAGAAGGAAGAAGUCUUUUAGAUUUGAUAAAAGAUGGCUAGGAAAACCAGGGUUCAAAGAGGCGGUAAUCUCCGACUGGAGCUCUUUGGAUGGAAUUCUACGUCAGGAUUUUCAUCGCAAAGUAGCCAAUUGUCGGAAGAGUAUCUCUAAGUGGAGAAAGUCCCAAUCUUUUAAUUCCGAGAAGAUAAUAGAGGAACUCAAAAACACUGGAUGCGGCCCAAGACGACAAAAAUUCUACAUUAGAAGAAGUAUAAGAAAUUAGAAAAAACCUUUGUACUGCUCUACGGGAGGAAGAAACAUUCUAAAAACAAAAGAGUCGCGAACAAUGGCAGAAAGUCGGGGAUAGAAAUACAGAAUUCUUUAAUGUGAUCAUGAAACAAAGGAGAAGCCGGAACCGAAUUGUCGCCCUGAGGGACAGAAAUGGGAACUGGGUGGAAAAUGCAUGAGGAAUUGAACGAGUAGCCUCCCACUAUUUCCAAGAUUUGUUCACCUCGUCACAACCCCUGGACCCACAUAAUUCACUCUGGUUUAUCACCGAGAAAGUAUCACAGUCUUCUAUCUAGCAUCUCAUCCAAGACCCCACAGAAAUAGAAAUUAAAGAAGCUCUUUUCGACAAAGCCCUGAGACCUGAUGGAAAGACAAGCAAGUUCUACCAAAGAUUAUGGCAGGAUUUCCGCCAUGACAUUGUGAAAUUAGUAAAGGAUUUCUUCAACUCAGGAUCUUUUGAUCCCAGACUAAAUCAGACCAACAUAUGUCUAAUCCCCAAGAAAGAGAAGCCUAGAGCUAUGACAGAGUUCUGUCCGAUUAGUCUGUGCAACGUGAGCUAUAAGAUGAUCUCAAAGCUCAUGUGUAAGCGACUUAAAAAGACACUACCUAGUCUAAUCUCAGAGACCCAAUCGGUCUUCAUGGCUAGGAGGCUGAUCAAUGAUAACAUUUUCAUGCACUUUCCACUAACUCGGUUUGUAGAAAAAUCUUUAUGGCCAUCAAGAUCGAUAUGAGCAAAGCAUACGAUAGAGUGGAAUGGUGCUUUAUUAAAGCUCUAAUGAUUAAAUUGGGCUUCUCUGAGAGAUGGGUUAAGCUUCUGAUGUUCUGUGUCUCCUCGGUAUCCUACCAAGUGUUGAUAAAUGGAGAACCAAAAAGGCAUAUAUCCUCGACACGAGGAUUAAGACAAGGAGAUCCUCUCUCUCCGUUUUUGUUUAUCCUUUGUACCGAGGCCCUGAUCUCACUCCUAAAUGGAGCAGAAAUGGAAAACCGAAUUUCGGGGCUAAAAAUAGCCCAAGCAAGCCCACCAGUCUUCCAUCUACUUUUUGCGGAUGAUAGCUUGUUCUUUUGUUGAGCUGAUAUCCAACAAGGAACCGAGAUCUUUAAGAUCAUCAACACAUAUGGCUCAGCCUCGGGACAACAACUGAAUUUAGGCAAAUCAUCUGUCAUGUUCGUGAACCGUGUUGAUACGACAUUGAAGCAAGGUAUCAAGGACGCUAUCAGAAUAUUGACAGAGGGUAGCAUGGGCAUGUAUCUGGGGCUCCCAGAACAAAUCUGUGGAUCAAAAAAUAAAGUCUUCUCCUACGUCCAUAAUCGACUAAGUAACCGAGUGAAUUCCUGGUCUGCGAGAGCCACCCCGCAGAUCGGCUAUCAGGAUCCGGGAUUACUGGUUUACUAUUUUAUCCGACAAGAUAUAAAGGAGUGGGAUGUUCCCCUUCUGAGGAAUUUUUUCCAACCCGAGGAUGUCUCUCUGAUCCUAAGACUGAGACCUAGUCGUAUCUGUAUCCUGGAUGGAUAUGCAUGGAACCAUUCAAGAUCAGGACUCUAUUCGGUUAAGACGGGCUAUGAUCUAAUUAGGAGGACAAAAUUACAACGGGAACCCACAAUAGUUGGGGAACCGAGCAUUACGGUAUUGCAAAGUCAGGUUUGGAAAACCCGCUCACCCUGCAAAAUGAAGCACUUCAUGUGGCAAGCAUUAUCAGGAUGUGUGGCUACCUGCCAGAAAUUAACAUACCAAUAUAUUGGAUCCGACACAAGCUGUCCCCGUUGCGGUGAUCACGAGGAAUCUAUAAAUCACCUUUUGUUUUUAUGUCCCCCGGCAUUUCAAGUCUGGGCGUUAUCGGACUUCGCGUCCCUUUCGGGCCUCUUCUCAAAUACAUCUAUUUAUCAAAAUAUGAGCUUUCUCUUUUGGCAAACAAAAGAGAUAGGCAUGACGGAUCUUCAAAAAGACGUAUAUCCUUGGAUCCUAUGGCUCAUUUGAAAAGCAAAAAACGACAAAAUUUUCAACGGGAAAUCAAUUUCCCCACAAGACAUUUUGAUCUGCGCAAAAGUAGAAGCAGAGAGCUGGAGAAUCGCGAACCAACCAGAGGAAGCUGAGGAUACACCCGGUGGGACCCCAGCCCCCCCCCCCAAGAUACCUACCCCCGCGAACCACCGAGUUCCAACAUGUUGGAUCGAUGCCUCUUGGAUUGAUCAUGGCCCUGUUAGUAGACUCGGGUGGAGCCUGGUGGAUGCUAGGGGAGAUGAAGUGUAAGGUCAACAAGGAUGCCGCAGAAGCUUCUCCGCCCUCCAUGCGGAGAUGGAUUGUCUCUUGUGGGCUAUGGAAGUCCUGAGUGAACGGCACAUAAGAGCGGUGUUUUUUCUGACCGACUGUUCCGAUCUAGUGAAUAUGACAGAAUCCCCAUCUGAUUGGCCGCUUUUUACGUCCGAGCUAGAAAUUUUACGUAUCCUUCGUGAGAGCUUCUCAGAUUUCACCAUCCCCCACAUCCCGAGAAGUGAAAAUGUCCGGGCAGACAGUCUUGCAAAAAGAACCUGAGCAAGAUAACAAAUAUUCACCCACAGCGGCGGAAGAAACCGGCGGCUCCUGGGCGGAGUUUCAGGUGUACGAAGACAGCCAUUUAGCUCGCAUGUAAUCAGCUUUCCUCCAUGGCAGAAAAUGCAUCCCCUUCUUCUUUAAACUCUGCUUCGCCGCCUCUGAGACCAUUGAAACGAUCUGACGAAUCCGGUCAGACUUUCUGAAGAAGAUGAACGGUAAAGAUUAAAGCAACGACUUGUAAGCAUUCGUCUGGCGUGCGAUCUCGAACUCCGAUCGAAAAUCCACGUCGAUUAGAACCCUCUCACCGUUCACAAUCACAUGUACUCAUACUCACCUGAAAAUUUUCGAAAUUAAAAAAAAAAAAUCAGACAAAAAAUCAUGAGAAUCGAAGAAGAAGAGAACCGGUUUAAUGAAAAUCGUACCUGACGGUAUAGACCGAGUUUUAUUCCAUUUCGAUUUACAAACUGAGGAAUCGUAUCGGAGAGAUGAGAGUCCAUCGACGACGAUCUUCCUCAAAUCGACUUUCCUUUUGAUUGAUUUGUUCUUCUCAACAAUCUUCGCAACAUCAGCUAACAGAUUCCUCUCAGCGACGCUCGCGCAUGGAAUCAAGCUUUGUUCAAAAACCAUGGACGAUGAUGAAUUCGCUAAGAGAUAAAUACCUUGAAAUGGUCAUAAGCGUCGUUAAGAGAAUCGACGGAGAAACCAAACCAAUUGAAUUCGUCGUCGGAGCUAUUCGUCGACGGUUGAAACAAUUGCAGCGAUUGCGUCCGUUUCUACCUUGUUUCUUGUUGGUUUCCUCCAUGUAGUUUUGAACCAUCUUCGAUAAAGCGACAGAGCUAGGCUCGAACUCCAUUCCGACGCCGUCUUCGGAGGCGGCAGUAAUGAGUGAUUUAUCCGAGUUUGAGCUUCUCAGAACAUUCGUGAACGGCCGAUCUAAGAGACGAUUGAGGCGAGAUUUGAGCACUGGUUUUCGUGAUUCCACACGAGCUGAGUCUCUACUCGCCGGAAAAUCGUUGUAAAUUGGCUGGAUCUUCAUCGGAAAAGGCAUUGAUUAUAGAUCUAAUCUGAUCUCUCUCUCGGCGGAGUAAGGACCAAGUCACUUCUCCGUUCAAACAAUAAAUAUAUUCAAAAGUUCACUCAGAAACUUCCCCAGAUUUUAGAUCUCUUUCCAGGAAAAUUUAAAAUCGGAAACUCCACAGCUUCAAAACCUCACAAGAAGAAGAGAAGAAGAAACAAAAUCUACUAAAAAACCUCUCAGCUAUUAGAAAGUAGAAACUACCAAGUAGAAAAACUAUACGAUCCUCUAAAAAAUUCAGUAAGAAAAUCGGAGAUUCUUAACGCCGACGAUUUUCACGGAAAACAUGACGGAAAUUGUCGGAAACAUCGUUACUAAGAACGGUAAAAGAGGAAAAAGUGACCGGAUUACUCAUUUUCCCGGCGAUAUUUGAUUUGCCGGAGAUUGAUUUAAUGUUUUGAGACAAAUCAAAGAGGUAAAUUGUCUAUUUGAAAACGUAAUUCUCAGUUUUUUUUUGUGUCCUUCUAGUUGGAGUAAAGCGAGAUUGGUUGAUUAUAUAGGUGCAGAGAUUAAAUGAAUUCGGAAAAACCUCUCUCUGUUCUCUCUCUCAUACCUUUCACAGAGAGAAGGCGAUUUUCCUUUUUUGCUUUUUCGUCCGUUCGAUCGGAAAAAUAAAUUAUGGUAUAACCAGAUCUAUAUGUAAUAAUCUUUCCGUUCUACGGAUUUCAGUUUUCCGGCUAUGACCGGAUUUUUCUUUUCCGUUUUCGAAUCUCCUUUUGCUUAUAAGCAAUUGGUUUUUUCGAUUUCGGACUUCGUGCUUCUUCUACAAAUCUGGCUGCUUUCUUUUAAGAGGUGGUAAGGUGAUGGUGGUGAAAGCUCCUACUCCAACAUUUGGCAUCGUCCUCUCAUGGUUGGGAUGUUAAAUCUCCCUUGGUUCCCUCACGAAAAACCUUUUUCAAGGUGGAGGGUAAUAUAUAGUCAUGAGUCAAAGAUGAUCGAAUGUCUUUUUAAUGGAGGUGAGAAGAUUUUUGACCACCCAAGAUCUUUAUUGUAGAAGAAGCUCUAGCGGCGGUUCACAAGCAUCAUCGUGAAGCCGGAAGCUGGAGGUUGAAGUGUCGUCGGCGGCGAGUUCCAGCGCACCAGAAACUAAAGCGGUUGUGCAUGACGAUAUGAUCUUCAUCUUGACACGUGUCAUUGGUGUUUAUGGUUUUUACAUCUGUCUAUGUACGUGUCUAAAACUAUCUUUGUAUUUGGGCCGAUAUUAGGCCUUGUUUGUACCAACGCUUUACCCCUUUUGGGGUUUCGUUAUAAAACGAAUGACGACAACAAAAAAAAUAUAGGUGCAGAUAUUAGACCGAAGCUGAAGAGACCAAAGAAGAAAAUGGUGACUAGACAAGAUGAUGCCAUGUCAUUAAAUUACGUGGUAUUGUUUUUGGUUUGACAAAUUGUGGGUUUGAUUGGUGGCAUUCAACCGCACUGUUGGGAGGAACAGUUGGAAAAAUGCUACCAAUCGGCAAAGUUAGUUGGAGAAAGCAUUUAAAACCUCAACUGUAAUCAGCGUUUGAAAUGGACCGUUGAAAGAUAUUUUUUUGACGAUUGGAAAUUAAUUUUAGGACGAUUACAAACUAUUCAAAAAUGACGUUUAGAGCAAACGAACGGUUGUAAUCAGAAUUUUUUUAAUAAUAAUUUUUUUUUGUUUGAUAUUAAUUUCUAAUAAAUAAACUAGUAAAGUUAUAUCAUUCAAUUCAAUUCAUUCGACAAAACAAAAAAAUAAAAAAUAGAUGUGUUUGUAUAUUUAAAUCAGUCCAAAUCCUACAUUGGUUGUGCAUCUCUUUUUAUAAUCAUCUUAUAGAUUAUGAAUUAUAAAGUAUUAGAAAAAAUAUUUAUAAGACAAUAUUUAUGCAUUUUAAAGUUAUUAAAAAUAUUUAUCAUCACUGAUAUUGAAAAAAAUUGUUUCGUUUAACUUCUUAAAAGUAGUAAAAUAAUAAUUAUAAUUUUUGUUUACUCAAAUUUCAUAUGAUAAGUUUAUACUAUGUAAUAUUGUAUCAUUUUAUAAAUAAUUAUCUAAAAAAAUUGAACAAAAAGUUUUAUACACUUAUACUAUUCAACCGCUGUAAUGCUACCAAUCAAGUAUGAUUUUCAACUAUUUUCUGUUAUAAACUCAUAUUUUCCAACCGCUUUCUCUAAUCACCUCUUUUAUAAUUGUCUCAGCUACAACCGCUCAAAAUUCUCUAACCGUCUUAUUUAAACGGAGUUAUCAAUCGGACCCCUCUCCAACCGACCUUAUAAUACAUCUAAAUCAUUCUUUCUGUUAAUCGAUAUCAUAGUACAUCUAAAUCAUUCUUUAUGUUAAUUUUUUUCGAGAUUGAGUUUAACUUUUUUUUUUUAUUUUGUAAAUACAUUGUAAUUUUGUUUUAUUUUUUAAAACCUUCUAGAUUCAAAUUUUUAAAUUUGCACCAAUGUUCAAUAUUUUUGUUUAACCACUUAAACAUUUUCUUCAAUUGAAAAAAAAAAUAGUAUAGGGAUCGAAAUUAUGAUCAUUAAUUUCACCAAUUCCAUUUAAACUAUUAACGGAGCUUAAAGAUGACGUAUAUUACCAAUAUUGAUUUGUCCAAUUUUCUUUGACUAAUUUUCUUUGACCAAUUUUCUAAUUGGUUUGUCCAUGAAAAAAAAAUUAAAUGGUUUCUAAAUAUUGACUACAAGAACAUUUAGUCGUCUAAACUGGCUAGAAAAUAACUUGAAAUUAACUUAUCUUCUCUAUUAAAACAGAAGUAUGUUUUGUGUUCAAACUGAUUUUUUUUAGUUUUCUACUAUUCUACAAGUGGAUAUCUAUUAUUUCUGUUGUCAAAAAAAUUUUUUAUUUUAUUUAUUUGUUUUCUUUAUUUCCAAAAAUUAAUAAAAUAAUAGAUUUAAAAUUUAUCUUUGAAAUUCAUUUUAAAUUUUUUAAAUUUUAAUUCCGUUAGUUUAGAUUUUCUAAGAUAUAGUUAGGAUUAAUUAUCAAAAUUACAAAAUCAGUUGUUAUUAUAUUUACAAAAUAGUAAAUAAGAUAUUAACUAUUUUUUAAAAAAAUAUUCAAAUUUGAAUAAUAUUCUGAUACUGAUAAUAAACGAAUACUUUUAUUAAUAAAUUAUUUUUAAAAUUUAAAUAUUUAAAAUUUUAAAAAUAUAUUAUAUAUAAUAUGAAAAGAUAGGGUAAAAUUAUGUUUUCAUAUUCAUAGUCUUUUUCGGAUCAAUCGAAUGGGCGUGUUGAAAUUAUGUUUUUAUAAUCGUUGUCAAAUUUAUUAGAAAAAAUAAGUUUUAAAAAAAUAAAUUUUAUUUAAACACAAAAAUAAAUUGUGUUAUUUACUAAAAAAAUAUUAUAUAUAAAAUAUGUAAAUUAUAAUAUAAACUUAAAUUAAAAAAACAAAAUUUAUGACGCAUAGGAUAGAAUCUAGUAUCCUUUAAAGAGGAUUUUCGUAACAAGCACAAGUACAACGCUCCAUUUGGUGCCUUUGAUUUUUUUUUUUCUUCCCGUGGUAAUAUUGAUCUAAAUGCAGACUCAAAAAAAGAAAAUCAAACAUUAUAAACAUAACUAAAACUAAAGAUACGAUACAACAACUCAUACUCAAUCGAAAAACCAAAAUCAACGAAAGACACUAUGAGAAAAACGUGACUUUUUCUAUUCAUAUAUAUAUAUAUAAUACUAGUAAAGAAAAGUAAAAAGAAACAAAGGAACAGUACUUGAAAUAAAAAGUAACAAAGGAACAGUAUUUUAAUUAUUUUUGUUAUUUGUAAUAGUAUAUCAUAUAAGUCUUUACUAGGAUAGUGGUCCGCACGCAUGUGCAGACUUGGAUUUUUUUUUUUAAAAAAUGAAUGUAGUUGGACCGAUGUUAAGUACAUUGAAAGUUAGUAACUUGGUUUCUGAUGGAUUCAAAUUGGUAUAUAGAUCGCGACGAUUUUUAAAAUAUUUAGUCAAAGACCAAUUUUUUGUUAUAUAUUAAUAUAACUUUUUAUUUGUUACUACUGACAGAUUUUGGGGGCAACAAUAGUAGAAUAGCAAUAAAAAUGUAAAGUAAUUAUAAUUGUUCAAGCAUGAUUAAUCUUACCAAAAUUUUAGUCUACAUGCUUAUAUACGCAUGUACUACUGGUUGUACAAAAAUAUUAUAUUUACUUAUCAUAUAUAAGAAUUGGGAUAUUGAUGUUCUUGAUUGGUAUAAUUUGCUCCAAAUCAUGAUAAUGAAUACUAAAUGUAAUUUGAAGAUAGGUAAAUAAUUCAAAUAGGUAGAGUUCGCCCUAACUCUUUCUCUCCCAGGCACAUUUCCCCAAGCAGCCGCUCGACUCAGUUUCACCGAUCUAACAUCUUCUUCUCCAUCCAAUCUUCUUGCCGUCGUUUCCUCCUCUCUUCAGCUGGGUUUGGGUCGAGCCUUGCUCCGGCCUUGGCCGUGAGCCAAGCGCCGGCAAAUUAUUAUUCUCUCCGUCGUUACUCUCACUUGUUUAUGUACUUUUGAUUUAUGCUCGCUCUUGCCGUCACGUCACCACCAGCUCAGUCCCACCAUCUCUGCAUCUGCGUUUCACCGCUGCACCCUCUCUCCGACACGCCAUCUCACCUCUCUCCUCUAUUGCCAGCUUUCCAUCUUGCCUCCAUUCGCUAGAUUUGUCAUCUUCUUCGCUAUAUCUCCUUGUGAUCAAUCUUAGACAGUUUCGAGGACAAACUGCUUACAAGCUAUCAAAAGUUUCUCUAGUAACGAAGUCGGCCGGUCCUGCUUCCAUGUCUGCAUCUUCCAGAGCAUUGUACUACUUUACUGAGACGGUCUUCCAUGUUCCCCUUUGCUCACUCUCUGCUUCUUUUUCUUUGGUAAGAAAUGGACUGCUUGUUGAGAGAAGGAUUUUGAUCUUGUGGAAUCCCGAUAUAGUUAGUUAUGUUCUGAAGCCUGUUUUCUCCGGCAUUCCCACGUUUUUGGCCUUUAAUGGCAUCCAUGUCGUCUUGCUUGAACGGCAGGAAGGUUUUUGUGUAAAUCCAAAGCAGCUUUGCUUGUGGUAUCCGUACCUGUCCAUAAAUCUUUCACAAAGUUUAUUUGCCAAAUUCAGGAUCAUUUGAGUAAAUCCAAGGUGUUUUCGCAUAUUGUGUCUUUAUCCCAAGGCUUUGAACGCCUUGAACUCGUCAUUUCCAUUUUAGUGGCAGACGAUCUUUCUCAAGCUAUCUCUGAAGAAUUAAGGAUAAUCUCGGUAAAAUCCGACUCCUUCCAUUUGGUUGAGCCAUCAUCUAAGGCUUUUGUGACUUCGAACUUCGUGGUAUUCUCGAGGAUUCCACUCCUCACCAGAAGAUUUGUUUUCACUUCUAUCAAGUUUAUCAUAAGUUUAUUUUAUGUCUUUGCUGCUUCCUUCGGGAAUAACUCUUUGUAUGCGGUUCACGCAUCUUUCGUUUCGUUUGAUUAAUCGAAGUAACUGGUUGCACAAAAAAAAAAAUACUAAAUGAAAUUUUUGUAUUUAGUAUAUUAUAUUAUGAAAUUGGCUAAUGUUUGUAAUAUAAUAAAUUCUAGUAUUCAUAUUUUUACAAAACUAUACUUAAAUGCCGAGAGUCUUAAUAUUUUGGCUACUACAAAAAAGUCAAUAGUGGUUAUAAAAAAGUUAUACAAUAUAACAUGUUUUUUAACUAUGUUAUAUAAUCAAAUAGUUUGUAUUAACUAUUAAAGUUACUGGGUUAUUACUGUUAUUAUACGGAUUUCAACUUAAACAUUGGAAAUAUAAAUAAUAUAAAAUAAAAAUCAAUUUUUAAUACGAAUUAUUCUGUUUAAUUUGUUUUUUUUUUCUCUUCAAAAAAAGUAGGCUUUCUGUUAAAAAUAAUAUGAAAUCAGCAACUUUUUUAAUCAAGUUGAAAUCUUUCUAAUAUUUAUUAAUAAAGAAAGUUUAAUGUUAAUUUAUGGAAAAUAAAAUAUUUUAAACUCUAAUUAUAAGCUUAUAUAUAAUACACCCGUUUAUACUUCCAACAGAUUGGAUGACUUAACCAUAUACAUCGAAGUGAUAACAAUUAAAAAUCUAAAAAAUAGACAACAAAAAAAAGAAGAAGGAAAUUAUGAUAAUUGAGUUUUUCGUCACAAAUGUAACUUUCUAGCUUUAUACCUUAGACAACUAGAUUAAUCUACCUUUUAUUUUAUUUUAUUUUGAUGCUUCGUUAGUACAUAGAUGGGCAUGAUGGCCUAAUUGCAUUUGACUUUCUUUGAGACUUCACGACACCUACCUUUCUUUCUUUGACUCCUAUCUACAUCUUCGUCAUGUAUGAUCUAUUAUAUCGAUUUCAUCUUCAGUUCAUACAUACAUAAGAUCUUUUGUAUCAAUUUGCAUGUUCUUUGUUUUUAGACAUCUAGCAAAUAGAACAGAAAAUCAUAUCAUAUAUCAAUUGAGUAAUACAGGAACUACCCACGUUUUGUGGUAUCACUAAUUUACAGAAUUAGGAUCAUAUUUGAAAAGGGCUGGUAGUUCCUAUAUUACUCAAUUAGGAAGAUUAUUUAAUUUUUGACUAUGGGUAAGUAUCCUUUUGAUAAAAAAAAAUACAUAUGUAAAAGUGCAAAUUUGUAAAUAUUCCCAUAACAAUACGGUGAAUUUGCUCUAAUACAAACUUGGUUCACAAAAUUUUUAAUCUAUAAUGUCUGUGCUAUUAUAGUAAGGUAUCCUUCUCUUUUUCAGUUCUACCGUCUCAAAAUAAUCAAUUUCACUAUGUAACUGCAAAUGUGACCAUUAUGGAGUCUCUAUUCAAGAACUUUCUCAAAAAAGGAAGAGGAUAAUAUGAUGAUGGAGCUUCUCUUUACAAAAGGAAUAUAGAUUUCAUUCUUUAAUUUCCAUGAACACAUAAGGACACAUAAGGUCAUUUAAAAGAUACAAACUGAUGAAAAUAUGACCUACCUGUUACAAUGGAGUAAGGGUAAUAAUUAGAAACAGUAAUAACAAAUUUGAAACUACACCACCAAACCUUAAUUAAAGAGGUCAAUUAGCUUGGAACCAUUCUCUAUCUUCAAAUUGUUGUUAUACACAACUUCUUUUCUAUAACAUAAUUCCAAAAAAGAUUAUUAAUUUUUCUGAUAAUCAAAACAAAAUACAUAUACAAAUUAAACUAAACACACAUAUUUCAGUUUCAGUUUUUUUUUUUUUGGUAAAAGUAACAAUAUUUUACCAGACCCAUCAAGCAAAAGGAUACUCACCCAUAGUAAAAAAGCUUCACGGGCAAACAUUUCACAUCUCAGAGACCUGAACAAAAAACAGAGACUAAGUUAAAGAAAAAAUGAGAAAAUUGAAUAAAAACAAAAGAAGGACGAAUCUAGAUCUAAUAAUUACGUACUCCAUUCUACGCUAUAUAGAGGAUACCGUGACAGUAACAUAAUACACGUUUUUAUGGCUUCAAACAAUUGGCAGCGACAAAAAAGACUCGGUUUUUGGAAACUGAGAACUUUAUAGGAACUGCUAAUAUAUAAAGCAAUAGGACGAAUCUUUUUUUUUUGAUAAAAAUAGGACGAAUCUUGAAUAAAAGCAGUUCGUUAUCAAAGUUAAUAUAUCCCAAUGGAAAUAUGUAAGGAGGUUAAAGAGUAACCUGAAUUUGACGAAAUCUAUUUAUUUCACCUUGUUGGCAUUUGAUUGCUCCAGAAUGUCCUUUCCGAUGAGAAUCAUAGUGAGAUCAUUCUUCUGCGUUUUUGAGAAAUCUAAACAUCAAAGGUUCCAACCAUCAAACAUAAGAAUACACACAUAAAUAUAGAGAGGUCGCAGGAAAUUUUCAGAGUCGCAAAAAAUUGAUCAAAACAUGAACUUAGUCAUGUUAUCGGCAUGUUUGUUUUAUUAAGUUUCUCAUGCUUUCUCGCCAUUUCCUAAUUUACAAAAAAAAAAGGAAUUUAAAACAAACAUGCCGAUAACAUGAAUAAGCUAAAUAAAAGAGAAGACAACAAUUAAACAAUCAAAGCAUGUAUCUUCUUUUGCUCAUCUUAAUGAUAUAUAGACUUCUUGUGCAGCAGCUAUUUUAGAGAUCAUGACAUCGAUCAGGCGAAAGAAGAGAUUAAGAGAUAUAUAAAGAGAAUAAGUACCAUCUUUACUCGCGAUAAACAGAAUUGAGGUGACAACAGUGAUGAUCCCGAAAUACAUGGGAUCUAUUGAAGAACACAAAGCUCCUAAAACAAUUUAGUUUACCAACCGAGGGUAAAAAGUUAAAACAAUCAAACAUAAAAAUACACAUAUAGAUAUAUGGAGAGAUAUGUGAGAUAGUACAUGUGGAAUAAGAAGAGGUGGAAGAUUCGUGAAGAGUUUUACCAAGAAGUUUUCAUUUCAAUCCAUGGAUCGUUCUUUAAACAACAUCUGAAACAUAUAAAAAUCCCACAUUAGUAUUCAUGAAAUCCACAAGAUUCAUUGGUAAAGAGAAAGCAAUACAAAUACAAAACUAAAAGGAAAAACUUAUCAUGGUAGUUCAAUAGAAUGAUCGUUUUAUAUAAUGGAUAGAGAGAGGCUAAGCUUGUUGUGAAAUCUUUCUUUUCUAUACUAGAUGAUUACCCAUGCAAAUGCACGGGGUUUUUCUAUGUUUUUUAAAAAAUAUAUAUUUUUAAGAUUUAUUUAAAACUUUAAAUAAACUCAAUUCAAAAAUUUCUUUUUGAGGUUGUCAUAUACAUGUAAAGAAAAAUCGUUGUUAUUUAAUUCUUUUAAAAUAAUCUUUUUAUUACUUUAUUUGUUCGCUAUUAUUUUGUUUUCAAAAAAGCUAAUCAAACAUAUAUUAUACUAAACAAAUCUAGAGUUAAUAAUCCAACAAAUACUAAGUAUAAAAUAUCAACUUAUGGUUAUAAGUUUAAGAGGCAUAUCCUAUAAAUAAAUAAAUAAAUUAUUCGAAGUGAUUUUCCUAUUUUAAUUGGCAAAGUCUUUCACAAACUCUUAUGAAAUCAAAAAUGAAUAUAAUGGAGUUCUAACUAUCAUAUCCCAAAUUGUAUUAAACCUAUACCCACUUUUCUUCACCAAGUUUUUAGUAUAAAAUCAUUAUACAUCUCACAUUGGAGAUAGUCUUCUAUGCUAAAUCUUUCACUUGAAUUGAAUCGCUAACUUUAAUAUUCCUUAACUGAAGCGAAUUUAAAAGCUAUCAGCCCAAAUUUUCUCAAAGUGACGUCUUAUGGUUCUAUAGUUUCAUAUGCUAAAUCUUAAGAACACUUGCAUGCUUGAAAAGAUUAUCGAGGCUUUGGUCACACAAUUCCAUCAUCUUGACAUCUGUUUUACUUUUUGGGAUGCUUUAUGUAGAAGUAGAAAACUUUGGUAUAUAAAAUUGGCAUAUAAACCCAAAUCUACAACUUUAGGUAAAGAAACAUAUAGAAAUUGAAAACAAAUUAAAAAUCCAAACUCUACAGGUAUGGGAUUUUUAUUUAUUUAAAUUUGUUUCCAAAAUAGUUACUUACUUCUGUGAUUUUACUUCUGUGAUUUUAGUUAUAUUAUUUUGAACUUUUUAAAGUUAAUAAGAUUUAUCAAUCCCUUCAUUUGGUUACAAAUUUUGGUUUUUACGUCUAAAGUUGCAAAGUUUUAUGCAUCAGAGAGACGUAUUGUUAAAUUUUACAAGUACUUCCCAAUAAUUUAUUGCAUGAGAGAAAUACGACUUUUUACAAAACAAAAUUUCCUCAGUCAUCAUUAGCCAUUACAACUAAAAAUAGUUUUUUCUCUAAAUAUGUUGUAUUCACCUUCUUGACUCCUUUUAAAGGAUAUUAUUUGGACUUUUGAGCAUACAAAUAAGUUUGAUUACAACAGAACAAGGAUUUGUCAAGAUUUAUAAUCUAAAGGCAACAUAUAAACUAAAAAGAUUUGUAAUCCAAAUGCAGGCUAUAAAAAAAGAGAUGAUCAUUCGCCUUUAGUUCCAUAACUUUAUGUUGUUGACUUCCUAAAAUUCAUUAAGCUUUCCGGAGAUUAUGCAGUUGAUCUUUUUUUGUUUUCUCAAAUUACACUUGAUUUUUUUUGGCGACCAUUUUUAUCAAUAAUCAAUAGAAUAAGAAGAAGUAAUGGUUUAUUCUCUCUCACUAAAAUUAAAGAAAAAUUUUUAACCAAAAAAAAGAAGAAGAUGAGAAGUUUAUUAUUCAGUUUUUUGUACUGUAUUUAAUGGUUUAUGAUUUUAGUAUUUUCUAAAUAAAUUAAAAAUCAAUAAAACCUAUCCCAAAUUGAGUUCUAACUAUCAUAUCCCAAAUUGUAUUAAACCUAUACCCACUUUUCUUCACCAAGUUUUUAGUAUAAAAUCAUUAUACAUCUCACAUUGGAGAUAGUCUUCUAUGCUAAAUCUUUCACUUGAAUUGAAUCGCUAACUUUAAUAUUCCUUAACUGAAGCGAAUUUAAAAGCUAUCAGCCCAAAUUUUCUCAAAGUGACGUCUUAUGGUUCUAUAGUUUCAUAUGCUAAAUCUUAAGAACACUUGCAUGCUUGAAAAGAUUAUCGAGGCUUUGGUCACACAAUUCCAUCAUCUUGACAUCUGUUUUACUUUUUGGGAUGCUUUAUGUAGAAGUAGAAAACUUUGGUAUAUAAAAUUGGCAUAUAAACCCAAAUCUACAACUUUAGGCAAAGAAACAUAUAGAAAUUGAAAACAAAUUAAAAAUCCAAACUCUACAGGUAUGGGAUUUUUAUUUAUUUAAAUUUGUUUCCAAAAUAGUCACUUACUUUUGUGAUUUUACUUCUGUGAUUUUAGUUGUAUUAUUUUGAACUUUUUAAAGUUAAUAGGAUUUAUCAGUCCCUUCAUUUGGUUACAAAUUUUGGUUUUUACGUCUAAAGUUGCAAAGUUUUAUGCAUAACGUAUUGUUAAAUUUUACAAGUACUUCCCAAUAAUUUAUUGCAUGAGAGAAAUACGACUUUUGACAAAACAAAAUUUCCUUAGUCAUCAUUAGCCAUUACAACUAAAAACAGUUUAUUUCUCUAAAUAUGUUGUAUUCACCUUCUUGACUCCUUUUAAAGGGAUAUUAUUUGGAUUUUUGAGCAUACAAAUAAGUUUGAUUACAAUAGAACAAGGAUUUGUCAAGAUUUAUAAUCUAGAGGCAACAUAUAAACUAAAAAGAUUUGUAAUCCAAAUGCAGGCUAUAAAAAAAAAGAUGAGCAUUCGUCUUUAGUUCCAUAACUUUAUGUUGUUGACUUCCUAAAAUUCAUUAAGCUUUCCGGAGAUUAUGCAGUUGAUCUUUUUUUGUUUUCUCAAAUUACACUUGAUUUUUUUUCGACCAAUAAUCAAUAGAAUAAGAAGAAGUAAUGGUUUAUUAUAUCUCACUAAAAUUAAAGCAGAAAAAAAUUUAACCAAGAAAAAAGAUGAGAAGUUUAUUAUUCAGUUUUUUGUACUGUAUUUAAUGGUUUAAGAUUUUAGUAUUUAUUAAACAAAUUAAAAAUCAAUAAAAUAAAUUAUAAAUGAUUUUGUAAAUCUGAUGUGUCAAAAUAAUAGAUGCUGAUGUGUCAAAAUUGUGAGAUACAACCCAACUUUUAUAUAAUAGAUUGUGAAGAUUCUUACGAAAUUUUUGUAGAAAAUAAAAAGAAGAUCUUAGCCAUAACCUUUUUUGGUUAUUAAUUAUCAAAUAGAAUGAGAGAUAUGAAAUAAAGAAAAAACGUUUUAAUAGCGUAUCAAAUCAUUCCUGAAAUUACGGAAUUCCUACAAUAUUGAUCAGUUUAUAUAGGUGAAGAUAUACACAGUUCCUAAAAUUGGAUAUUUUGUAUUUUUUUUUGAAUUUAAAAUCUUCCACUCAAAAGAAAAUAUACAAAUGUUUCCAUAGUUGAUUUCAGUUAACUUUGUUUAUACCAUUAAUUCAUGAGAAAACAUUUUAAAGCAUUAAAAACGUCUUAAUCUAUACCACUAACUAAUUUUCUGAUUAUAUAAAAAUUUAUUUACAUUAUAUAUAUAUAUAUAUAAAUUCUAAUGUCAAUGUAUUUUUUCACUAUCAAUGUAUAUAUAUAUAUAGUUCUAAGAGUUAAACGAUAGGUAAAAAAUAUUUUUCAUUUCAUAAGAUAAAAUUUCUGAUCUUUUUGGAAAUUCAUUAUAUAGAUAAUUUGAAAAGUGUUGUUAUGGAUAUAUGAUAUUCUUGCUAAAAUAUAGGAUAGUAAGAUAUUUAGUCAUUAGUAAUAGAAUAUAUAUCUAAAGUAUCUAAUAAACAAUACAUUGCGGCAAAGUUUUCAAAUUGUAUAUUUCAAAAUUUUCAAUGUAAUGUGAGGAGAUUUACGUGAAUAAAGAAGAGUCUAUAAUAUGUUCAGUUUACUUCAAAUUCCUCUAUGAUAGUAUUUAUCAAAAUGUACUUUGUAUUUUUUAAAAAAUAUACUUUAUGCACUUUUUAUAAUAAUAAUAAUAUUCUUAAAUUGCAAAAAAAUAUGUAUAUAAUUUUUUUUUAUAAAUAUAUACGUUGAGUUUUUAUUUUAAAAUUGUAAGUUAUGUAUAUAUAUAUAUAUUAAUAUAAGUACACACAAAGUCAUUUGAAUGUUGAAUAUACUUAUUUUGUUAAGUUAAUAUAAAUUCUCGCAAUAUAAAUGUGUUACAAAAUAAUAUAUGGCAACAAAUAAGGAAGAAGUGAUUUGUUAUGAAUUAUUUAUUAUCUAUUUUUUCAUUAAUAAGAUAUAAAUAUAAUUGUUUUAUUUUUUGCUGUUUCAUUAAACAUGAUUCAAUCAAAAUUGUCUAUGUAAGCAGUAUUGCCAUGUUACAUUUGACGUGGAAUAAACGUCAAGCAAAGAUGAUUUUUUAAGCCAAUCAAAUUAAAACAAAUCAGAUUUUUUUCAUUAAGCUACAUUCUCAUUUAGUAUAUAGGAUAAAAUAAAUAUUAUUAUUUAAAUGAUUAUCUAAUUUAUAUAAAAGGGAUUGAUUUCUUUGUCUCUCAGAUAUGCCACAUCAGUAGAAAUAAUAAACAAAAUAAUCAGCCAAUGAGAACAUUUGAAAGUCACAUAUCACUAAAAAAACUUUAAUUACGUUAAAAGAGUUAUUGCAGAGUUAUGAAAUCGGGCCACCAAACACAGUAAUACUGAAAAUUGAAUAGAAAGAAACACAUUAUAUAGAGACCCAAAACAAAAGUCGAAAACAAUAGCCUAAAACGAAAUCAAGAAUACAUUUGAGCUUUUCCACCUUUCUCUGCUUUCGUCAUACCCUAAAAUAAAUUCACCGUAACAGUUUCCCCUCAAACGAUUCAUCUUCAUCCCAUCUCCAAAUCAGAUUCAAUGAAAGGAAAGCUCAAACCAUAAGUCGUUACAAAAUACCUUCAAACUUAAUUUCUCUAACAAAGUAGCUUCACACUUAAAUCACCAUUCAAACCUCAAUCCACGAUGGAGAAUCUCAAACAUCAAUCGUUCCUAAUAACUUUUACAACUCAUUUCUACCCAUCAUAUACUAUCACAGCCAUGGCAUCCUCUGAAACUGUUGGAGUAGUUAGAAGAACAAAGAGGUAAUCAAACAUACAUGAUGGCUAAUGAUAUGUUUUGUGUUUUGAAUUUUUUGAUAUAUUAUCUUCUGUGCAAGCAUUAUUCGUCAGAACUUAAAAUAUUGUCAUCACAAUUUCUUCACAUAAUUGUCAACACUUUUUUUGUCCAGUUUUGAAAACCCAAUCGGCAACUGUCAACACAAAUCCAGAAGACCAAUUCCAACUUCCAAGGCUUUCCCUCUGUGUAGUCUUAAUUAUUUUUGGAUCUGUGCUGUUCGAUCAAGCUAUUGAAAGGUCAAAAAUCGUGUUUUCGUAUUCUCAUAUUCCAAUUUUACAGAUUUAUUGGCGUCUAUUUGAGAUAGAAUUGAGGCCAAAGAUUCUAUGUCUGACCUUAUUUUCAAUGUGAAGCAGUACUAUUUCAUCCAUAAUCUGUUAUUAUGAGUCUCCUUUACCUCUGGGUAAGUUGAAAACAGGCGGCUACGAUUCAGUAGCUAGGUUAUUGGCUUUAAUUUCUUCACAUAAUUGAACAUUAUUGUCAUCUAUUGCUCUACUUUGGAAUCGAAUUAUCAACCGUCAAAGUAAAUCUGAAUAUGUUCCUUACUUAUUUGUGCAGGUUUUCCGUAUCAGAUUGUUCUCAUGGUGCUUCAAAUCUCUACACUACAACUAAGUCACUGCUCUAAUCAAAGAGUUCUGCUUUAAAUCUCUGAUCAUUCAAUCUUCUAGCCAGUUUCCAAUCUCUAGAGAGGCAGCAAAGCAAGAGCACGUGAUGAACGAUGGAACCAGCGGACGCCAUCAAUAUCUGCGGUUAGAUAUUUGGAUCUAUGAUGAUUUAUUUCAGUUUUAAUCUUUUCCAUGUCUCUGUUUAUGUGAUUUGAUUUCUCAUUACAUUUGAUCGGUAAUGCAGUAGGAAAGACAAACUACCCUAUUAAAUUAAUUGGUUAUACUAACCUAUAUGGUUUUCUAUUACCAUAUGCCUUUAGAAGCGACUAAGAAGAUGUAAGAUUUCGUCUACAAAACGUGUAAGGUGGAUUAUCUUAUUUGGUUUUCGUUAGUUUUAGCCAGAUCGGUGUGAGUAAUUAAAAUUAGCUCAUGUAGUCUUAAUUUUCAAAUAAAUAUCUAAUACAAAACUAUGAGAGGCUUUGUGAUACCAAAAUGGACAUGAAAAAAUACUUAUGGUCUUCACGAUCCAGACAAAUAAGUUUCAAGGUAUUUACAUCUCAUGUGGAAUAUAUUACACGAAAUUACAUGUUUUAUAAUGUUUUUUUCUUCUACAUUAUUUCAUUAUGCUUCGAUAUAAAAUGUUUUAUUUAGAAAAUUGAACAAACAAACGUUAUAGUCAAGUGAUAUAUUGUGUAUUGAUCUUUCUCCUCUUUUAUGCCACAUGAUAUAUUAAAGGGGCCUUGAUCAAAUAUCAUUACAUGGUCAAGUAAGUGAAACUCAAGACGAAAAUAACAAAAACGAAGAAAUACUGCUAUGGUUACGAUGAUUAAAAAAACGUUUUAGGUACAGGUCAUCAUACUAAGCAGCUAAAGUCCAUUAGAAACAUGAAUACGUGCCACUUUUCUGCCUCAUGAUUUAAACCAUUUGCAGAGAAAUGACUUAUAUAGUAAAGUAAAUGCUGGCUCAUUUUUUGGAUGGCAGAAGUUUGAGUUGGUUUGCUCUGAUUUAGUUUGGUAUGCUUUUGGUUUUUGUUCAAUUUUUUUAGUAUUGCAGCAUCAAUUUUUGUGUGUUGGGUUUACAUUUUUUACUUAUGAUUACCUAAUUGGUCUAUCAUUUUUAAGCUACACGCUAUUAUCUACAGACAGAUUAGUAAUUUGUCAAAAAAUCAUGAUAAGGGAAAGUAUUAUUUUUAUAGUUUCUAAUGGUAUAUACUACUGAAGUUGUUAACUCCACAAAAUAUUUGCCAUAACUACAACAUUUUAUAUUUAUAAUGAACAUCUAAAAAAUACAUUAAUAUAAAAACCUUAAGGAAAAAAAAAUUGAUUAUACUUUCUAAUAAUUUUGCAUUCAUCUAAUGAUAUGCAUUUCUAUAAUACGCAAGUAUGAACACACUAUACAUAUAUGUGUUGUAUAUACUUAAAAUACAAAUUAUAACUUAACACUAAUUUCAAACUAAAACAAAUCAAUGAAAAACCCGGGCAUAGCCCGCGGCCAACCCUAGUUUAAAUAAUAAUAUAGAAAUAUACUCUAUUAAAUGAGAAACAAAGAUUUUCCAUAUUUUUUUCAAUAAAUUUGAAUGACAACUAUAUCUUUUCCUAUUCUAAUUAUUCUUUGUUAUUCGUAAUGGCAUAUCAUGUAAUAUUUUAUAAAAUAAAUGUUAUUUUUUAAAAUGUCUAAUUAAAUAAUAAUAUAGAGAUUUUGUUUUUAUAUUGUCAACUUGAUUAUAUUCAAAGUAUUUUCCAAAUUUACUCUUUACCUAAAAAGAUAAAUUAUUUUUGUUUUUUAGAUUACCCUUAUUUUAAUCAAUCAUAGAUAUUAACUUGAUACAUAUUUGUAUAGUCAGUGAAAAAAGAUAAUUUUUAUGAUAUAUAAAUAAUACGAAAACUGAGACAACAAAAAAAUUGAUGUUUUUUUUCCUUCUUCAAAUUCUCAAGUAAAUAAGUCUAUUGGGCCCAGACAUGGAUAGAAAAGUCCAUAACAUAAUUCCAAUGUGUAAUUAACUAAUUUCUACGUAAUUUCUUUCUAUGAUUACAAUGGAACAACAUCGACUUUGCGUUAGAGCUUUAAGUGUAUAAGUCAGGCAAUGGGGAUCGGUGGAUUCUUCUCUUGAUUUCAUAAUCACGUGAAAAAUUUCCUUGAUUUGGGAAGUGCGAUUAUGUUGCUUCCAUGGCAGCUUCUUUAAAAACAGAGGCGGAGAAUUCAUCGUCUCGGUCUCUGUGGGAGUAUGAUGUCUUCCUCAGUUUCAGAGGAAAGGAUGUUCAGAAAACACUCAUGAGUCAUUUAAACGAUGUUUUCAACGAAGAAGGAAUCAAAACUUUCCAUGAAGACAGAGAUCUUCAGAGAGGUGAUAUCAUCUGGGAAGCACUCGAGGAAGCGAUAAACCAGUCGCGAUUCGCAGUCGUCGUGAUUUCAGAGGGAUACACUGACUCUCAAUGGUGCUUGAGAGAGCUUUCGUUUAUGGUCGAAUUAGCUGAGAAAAGAAACAACUCAAAUGGAUCCCUAUAUUCUAUGAAAUCGACUCGUCAAACUUGAAGAGCCGAACCGGGUGUUUCAGCAAAGCUUUUGAGAAGCAUGAGCUGAGAUUUGGUAAGGAGACAGUGAGUAGAUGGAGAAGUGCUUUGGCUAUAGUUGGUAACAUCUCUGGAUGGGAUUCCAUAUGCAGGUACAUUGUCUUGCUUUCUUGAAACUAUAGGACAAAGAGUUUUGAAACUACUAUGAUAGAAAUUUAUAUAGUAUCUCUAAUGUUGUGAUGUGAUUGACGCAAGAACGAGUACUCAAAGCAUGUACAGAAUGUUGUUCAAGAUCUUUGUGACAGGUUAUACUCAGAGCCAAAGCCAUCAGACGAAUCAACUGAAUUGGAUUGGUGAUGCUGCUAGGGUUGACUUCGCGGCUUCAUAUUUUAAAUUUAUAACCCUAGAUAUCUGCAAGUGCACAACAGUGCGUUAUAGUACUUAGGGUAUCGAUUCACAGAGUAUCCACGCUUUACCUGCAGAACCUUAGAACUAGAAUUAGUAAACGAAGUCUAAGACAAAAAAUGGGAUUUUGGAUAGAUUGCCAUGAUUUCUAUACAUGUAUUUUAAAUGGGAUUUAAAAAGGAUUUUGAAAAGGUUUGUAAAAAGGGUUUGUAAAAAAGGUUUUAAAAAUAGUUUUAAAAAUAGAAGUGAAUAAAUCGAUAAUAAGUCUAAAGGAUGAACAAAGCUCUUAAUAUCGACCCUAGUAAAUUCUUAGAACUCGAAUCACAAACGUAUGAAUACGCCACUCUCGUGAUCAUAACCAACUAUCUCUCACAAUCCUGACCACUAGGUUUUCACUCUGGUCCUGGAAGAGAAAAGAUGCAAUAAGCUUAAGACUCAUCAAUAUUCACAGUUCUCCCAUAGGUAGGUUUCCACUAUUAUGGUUGAUCUGCUCUUCUCAAACUAGAUCUGGCCCCGAAUGAAAACUUUUGCAACACCCAAUACUAAGAUCAGUCUCUAGUUUGCGAUGCUAGAUCCAUGCUUUAAGUAUAAGUUUAGAAAAAAGAUUUCUAUAAUUCGACUUUGGUUUAUCUCGCGAAGAUCCCUACCGAACAUAGUCAAUUCCCUUCGAUUGAGCAUUUAAACUCAUACGUCAUCAUUCAAAAACGUGCAUAAAGUAAUAAGGAAAGACGUGCAUUAAAAAAAAGAAAAAAGAAGUAAAGAAAAAAAAGACAAGGAGAUGAAGAAGAAACAUCUUGAUUUCGAGAUCUCGGCUCGGAGAAGCUGAAACAACUAAUCUAAUAUGAAGAAGCUGAAAACGAAAUUGAAAGAUGCAUAGAAAUAAAAAUCGAAUUAAAAUAAGGUAGAACAUAAAGAGGGUUCAAGAGAAAUAUCUAUCUCCCUAAACUAAGAACUAAGAACAUAAGAACAUUAAAACCCUAGAAAACUAAAUUUAGUAGCUCCCACAAGGGAUUCUUCUGAAGCACACAAAAAUAGGUCUCCAAAGAUACAUAUUUAUAGGUCUCCAACUCUCUCCAAUCGUCCUUAGGGUUUUCUAUGAAGAGAAGACGAAUUGGGCUUGAAACGGGGUCAUGAGCUUGCUUUUUAGUCGGUCCUGGUCACGAGGCUUCCACCCGUGAUGAAUUGGGGUUUGGCCGCGGCCAGAGAGUCUUAACCAUGGCCGAGAGUGUGUUCUCCGCGGUCGUGGCCCUUGGACCCGCGGAGAUUGGCUUGUGAGGCUGAAUCUUCAUUCUGCACUUGCUUCCUUCGCGAGACUGCAGAACAUGUCGUCAAGGAUAUCCCGAGAUCUAAGCAUUGGGUUGUCUCCAAAAAAAUUGCAUUUGCAAGCUAGUUGUCUCCAUUAUAUUAUGUCCAAUUUUGGGGAUGAUCUGACGGUGAGAAGGUAGUCAUCAGAUGUGAAACUUCUGGCGGUCCGAAUUCAUCCAAAAUGAUAUUUUGCUCCAAAAUGCACUCCUUUUGCAUUAAUUACCUUAAAAGAGUUUUGCAACUACAAAUAGUAAAAAAUAAUAGUAUAAACACUUAAAAGAAAUAAAAACCAUUUGAAAAUCAAUUAAAAUCGAUCCACAAAAGUGGUCAAAUUACGAUGUUAUCAAUUCUCCAGAUUUGACCUUUGUUUGUCCUCAAACAAAACAAGAUCUAAGCUUAGAAAUAGCCUUUAACAAAAAUCUAGGUUCGUUGGCCCAACGUCCUCUCUUUAGGCCCGUUGGCUCAACAUCCUCUCUAGGCCUGUUGACCCACCACUGUCCGACGAUCGGGAGUCGUUAGUCCGGAAGGCUUGUAAGACUUAUCUAAUGUCCCUGCAAUCACCAUAUGAUAUUUCCUCGUGCUUUGUCCUCACUCGCACGGUACCACAGAAUAUAUUCUAGUAGAUCACCCAUUCUGAGAUUACUCAGACAUCAACAUGUUUAACUUUGGAGUUCUCUCAGCACAUUUGACCGGAAAAGAUAAGUACACUUUGUUGACAUAGGUAGCCAAAACAGUUCCUAUAAGCAUUUCCAUAUAUACCAGGAAUCGGGAUGUUACAUUUAAUCUUCUUGUAUUCUCCACCAGUUUUGUAUCUAAUACAUCUCAAAUAAAAUUGGAAAAAAAUUCCUGAAAACAUUAUCCCAUUUAGCACUACAUACUAAAACAAAAUUACAAAAAAAUUCUAAUGAUUAAGGAGAAGUGUUAUUUUCAUAUGUUUGUUUGAAACUCACGACGACAACUUCAAAAUUAUAGUCAAAAUAUUCAUUCACUCAUCACUUGCCUAAAAAUCGGAAAAGAAAAAAAUACCAAAAAGAUUAUUUGUCAAGAGUGGGAUUUGAACCCACGCCUUGGGUAGGUCACCCAUCCUGAAAUUACUCAGUCAUCAACAUGUUUAACUUUGGAGUUUUCUCAGCACACUUGACCGGAAAAGAUAAGUACACUUUGUUGACAUAGGUAGCCAAAACAAUUCCUAUAAGCAUUUCCAUAUAUACCAGAAAUCGAGAUGUUAUAUUUAAUCUUCUUGUAUUCUCCACCAGUUUUGUAUCUAAUACAUCUCAAAUAAAAUUGGAAAAAAAUUUCUGAAAACAUUAUCCCAAUUAGCACUACAUACUAAAACAAAAUUACAAAAAAUUUCUAAUGAUCAAGUAGAAGUGUUAUUUUCGUAUGUUUGUUUGAAACUCACAACAAAAACUUCAAAAUUAUAGUCAAAAUAUUCAUUUACUCAAGUUUAAAAAUGGAAAAAGAAAAAAAUACCAAAAAAAAUAUUUGUCAAAAGUAGGAUUUGAAUCCACGCCUUUUGGGAUCCGCACCUGCCUUAGACCAAUUCGGCCAUCUUGACUUCUCUUAACAGGUUUCAUAAGUUUUAUAUUAUCUUAAAAAUAAACUCAAACCCUUUUCUCUUGCUCUUGAACCGUAAAUGGAGAAAUUUAAUUGUAAGGCACAGUUUCUCCUCCCGGUGACGAUCAUCGGUUUCAUCUCCUCUAGUUAUCGGAGGGAAUGUUAGUUUUCUGUGUCAAAACGUUAAUCUCGUCUUCGCUUCCUCAGAAAUCCCAAUCUUCGGCUAUCUGCUUCUCUUCCAACACAAUCUCCCUUCUCUUUAAAUCCCGACUUCUGAGCGACUUUAGCUUCAAGCUGAACAGGAUUGCGAUGGAUAACACUCGGGAGUUACAGACAGAGGCGUCUCAGUCGCUAUCCUCGUCGGCUUCCGGUGAGAUACACGUUUAAGCUGGUCCAAUGUUUUCCGGCAAAGCGACAACGAUCCUACGGCGGAUGCUGGCGGAGAGGAGAACUGGCAGGUUUGUAUCUUAAAUUCCAUUUUAAUUUCGAGAUGCAUUGUCCUCAAUUUUGGUUUGUUGUUGAUGAUUUUAGUCUCGAAAUGGAAAUCCAUACCUUAUUUAUGAACGCUGAGACAUAUUUAUAAUUCUGCUCGAAAUUGAUUGGUUUAUGAUCAUCUCUUAUAGGGUCGUAAUUCUGAAACUUGCAUUGAGAGAUCAAAGUUUGGUUCACAUGUAACAUGUUCUAGCUUUCAGGUGGAGCAUCAGAGAAAGAAAGAGCAGCUGGGCUGUGUGUUACUGGGAGAUUGAAAGAAGCUGUUGGGCUAUUAUGGCUUAGCGGGUCACAAGUCGAGCCUGAUACUUAUGCUAUGCUGUUACAGGAAUGCAAACAAAGGAAGGAAUAUACAAAAGGGAAACGAAUACAUGCUCAAAUGGUUGUUCUAGGAUUUGCUCCGAAUGAGUAUUUGAAAGUUAAGCUGUUGAUACUGUACGCUUUAUCAGGGGAUCUUCAGACAGCUUGGAUCCUCUUUCGUAGUUUGCUAUUGAGAGAUUUGAUCCCGUGGAACGCAAUGAUAUCAGGGCAUGUGCAAAAGGGUCUUGAGCAAGAAGGGCUUUAUAUGUAUUACGAUAUGAGACACCACAGAGUAGUUCCGGAUCAGUAUACCUUUGCUUCAGUGUUUAGAGCAUGUUCUGCGUUGGCAUCGCUAGAACACGGUAUGAGAGCCCACGCUGUCAUGAUAAAGAGCCGGAUUAAGUCCAACAUUAUAGUCAAUAGUGCGGUUGUUGAUAUGUACUUCAAAUGCAGCAGUGUCUCUGAUGGGCACAAAGUAUUUGAUCAGUUCUCCACCAGAAACGUGAUUACGUGGACGUCGUUGAUGUCUGGAUAUGGGUAUCAUGGACAAGUUUCAGAGGUGUUAAAGUGCUUUGAUAAGAUGAAGGAAGAAGGUUGUAGACCGAAUUCUGUUACAUUUUUGGUGGUUCUCACUGCGUGUAGCCAUGGAGGUUUAGUUGAUGAAGGCAGGGAGUAUUUCGAUUCUAUGAAGAGAGAUUACGGGAUUGAGCCUGAGGGACAACACUAUGCGGCUAUGGUUGAUAUCUUAGGGCGUGCUGGUAGGCUACAAGAAGCGUACGAGUUUGUUAUGAAGUCACCGUGCAAGAAACACGCUCCGGUAUGGGGUUCUUUACUUGGAGCAUGCAGGAAUCAUGGGAAUGUGAAACUGCUAGAGCUCGCUGCUACGAGAUACUUUGAGUUGGAUCCAACGAACGGAGGGAACUACGUGGUGUUUGCCACUGGAUACGCGAGUUGUGGAUUAUUGGAUGCUGCUUCAAAAGUUAGGAGGAGAAUGGAGGAUGCGGGAGUGAAGAAGGAUAUCGGGUAUAGCCAGAUCAAAUUACAAGGGGAAGUUCAUAGGUUCAUGACGGAUGAUAAGUCUCACAGACUCUCUGGAAAGAUAUACAAGAAGGUCCAAGAGAUGACUUCAGUAUUCAUGGAUGUUGACUGCUAUCCUGUUUGAUAGAUUGGUUUGUCAUCUUGUCUUUGACUCUGUGACCAAAGCAACUCGCAGUGUCUCCAACGGAUGCUGUAGCAGGCUCUCUCCGGAAAAUCUGUCUUGAAUCAAACACAAGUUUUGGUUUUGGAGCAUUAAGUUUAUGCCUUUAUGGGUUUAGCAGGAGAAUGUGAACAUUCUGAUACUGACAUGUAUCUGAAAUGGGUGUAGCAGGAGAAUUGUGGUCUGAGUUUGGAUUCAAUAGGAGCACAUUCUGAUACUGAAAUGUGAUUGGUAUUGAUGGAAAACUCAAAUUUUAGGCGAAUGUAGAUGCCUCAGGUUCUCAUUAAAUCGGGUAAAGUGAAGGUAUCCUCUGUAUUAGGCUCCGAGAAAUCUGUGGGAAUGUGAUUAUGGGUUUAGCUGUGGGAAUGUGAUUAUGUAAAAUAACUGAGAAUGGUAGUCCGAGUUAUAUUCAAUAGGAGCAAAUUCAUCUGAUAAUGGAUGUGUUUAGAUGUAUAAUGUAAACUCAAUUCUUUAGAAUAAUACUAAAGAAGCUCUUUAUUCUCAUUUUAAAACUUAGUGAGGUGGAACUGGGUCAACUGUAAUUGAGACUGCAGGUGGUUUAAUUUCAAGAUUAUGUAACUCAUCCAUUUUUGUUGUUAUCGAGUGGGAAGAGCUAUUUCCCCACCAAUCUCCACGAAAGCAAAGCUUAAAAUCUAUUUUCCCGUGAAAUCGAUUUCCCCAUGUAAUUGAAGUUCGAAAUAAAAAAUUCCACAAAAAUCGGUUUUCAAAUGAUUUACUGUUUUUUAAUUAAUUUUUAACCGUAUAAAACUGAUAUUAAAAAUAUUUCCAAAGGCAACCUUAAAUAUUCAAAUAUGAAGUUUUGUUUAUUCUAAAAACAGCCUUAAAACCUCAAAUUUUGAGGUUUUGAAAAUAAAACCUUAUACUUGAAAUUUCACUAUUCAAGAUCUCAAAUUUGAGGUUUUCAGUUUUUAUUUGUAUUUUAGUCAUCACAAUUAUAUAUUUCAUAAAUAUUCAUUUUAUUUUUUUAUGUUUAUCAUUUUAAUCCAAACAAUUUUAUAUCUCACAUAUAUUUUAUAUUCAUUUGUAUAAAUUCUAUAUUUGCAUAUAAAAUAAAAUUAAAAAUACUAAUAUAAAAGAAAUAUUACAGAUAAAAAAAUAAAGAAACUCAUUUAACACUUCAAAAAAGCAUUGAUUAAUCAUAUUUUGAGAGCAUUAUGAAAAUAGUUUUGUUGAAUAAUUUGGUGUAAUGUAAUAAUUUAAUAUUUAGUUUGUGUAUUUUAAUUAUUAUGUUUAUGUACUUUAUCUUAUAAUGUAAUGUUUUGUUUUAUUAUAAAGUCUAUAAUAUAAAUUUAGUUAAUGAUAUUUUUAGUGUAUGUUUCUUUGUUAUUUAUAAAGUUAUAUAAUUUUAAUUAAUAAUAAUUAAAAUUAAAGAGGGAAAACGACCUAUUUCACUCUGAUAACUAUUACAUAGUAACUCAUCCCCCCAGAGUUUGGACCUCAUCGCAUAUUUCCCCAAUACAAAGUUUGUAAACUUUUUUCUCCCUAUUUGCAUUUUUCACAACGUAUUUAACCAAAACCGUUGAAUUCGAGGGUUUGUGAGGUAAACCAGAUAGAAUACCAGAUUUGCUCGAUACCAGGAUGAUUUUAAACCCCACCAAACUUGUGACCCGACCCAGUUAACAUCCGAUUCGUAAUCAUAAAAAACCCGACCAAAUGGAUAUUCCCAGUUCCCAAAUCGAUAUCGACAAACCCUAAAUCCCCAAAUUCAUCCCCAAAUCCCCAAAACGCUUCUAUUUCCAGGUGUUCUUAUAUGAUUUCGAACUUUCUCAGGUCGAUUACAUAGGAAAACCGAUUUGAUAGGUGUUUUUUUGUAGAUUGUGAUGAUGAGCGAAGAAUCUGGAGCGAGUGCAUCAUCAGCUGGUCGAGCAAGAGGAAGAUACGUCGGGUUGCCUAAGAGAUGUUCGUGUGGGGAAGGAAUUGUAGCCAGAAUCUCUAAGUCGGACGCAAACCCAUAUCGGAGAUAUUACCGUUGUGCAUUCGCCGUUGAACAAAAGGUGAAUUAGCUUUGAUUUCUUUUACCAUUGUUUAUUAUGCGAUUUUGAAGCUAAAUUGAUUGUCAUUGUUUAUUAUUGCUGUAGCUUGUCAAUGACAAUCACACUUUCAAGUGGGUUGAUGAAGCAUUGUUGAAUGAAAUUGAGGCAUCAAAGUUGAGAAUAGAUAGACUUGAAGGCCACGUUAAAGCAAGUGCAACAGAUUGUAUGGAGGCUGAGAAGCACAUGUAUGAGAAGUUACAAUUGAAGCUAGAGUCAGAGAUUGCUGAACGGGUAGAAGAAAGGAUUCUUGAAGCCAAAUCGGAUAUGAAGAAAUUGCUGUUGCUUGUGUGUUUUGGAGGUGUGAUAAUCCUUGGUUGUAUCAAACUUGUGUGAAGCUUAUUAGUUGUGUCUUUGUAGUUCUGGUAAUUGUCUUUGGUAUUAUGUUUUAGGCUCAUUUGGCAAACUUGUUUGAAGCUAUUUGUUGGUUUGUCUCUCAUGUGGUAAUGGUAUUUGUUUUAGAGUCACUUGGUGUAUUGGUUUGUUUUUUUUUCAACUUGUGUGAUCGUAUGAUCCCUAAAACUACAUUAAAUGACUAAACAAAAACAUAAUCAUAAGAUAACCAGAAUAUGACAUAACAUUAAGACAGCCUCAAUUGUUUAUAAACCUAGACAUCAUGCAUGGCCACAGACCGAAACAGAUCCGAAAAUAGAUGCCAAAGAAAGAAGGUUUUGUAACAGGUUCCAAAACACACACAAAACAGGUCGAAAAAUCAAAGAAAACACAACCGCAUAAACAUCUUCAUUCCCCAAGCUGAGUAAGUACUCCUUGUGAACAUUCAGGCUGAGAUGAUGAUUCACCUUGAGAAGCCUGUAAAAUCAAAGAAAAAGUGACAUUAGUAUAUAGAGAAGAUGAGAGAUUAGUAUCCAAAAACACACAAAGAAGAGAACAAACCAAUGUUUUCUUUUUAUGAAACCGUGAAUUGUGAUUAGCGGCUCCACAAACUUUACAAUGCAUGACUCUUUUCAGCAAUUUGUCUUUCUUCUUCACCGGAGAUUCAUUCUGCCCUUUCUUUCUUUUUUUAUCCGCCUUAGUAACCUUAUUCCGACCAGGCAUAUCUGGCACCACAGGUUGAACAGUGGAUGGUUCUUCUCCAACAGGCCAAAACAAGCGCCUCUAACUGGAAUAACACCAUCUGUGUAAGUAUCUCUCCACAUCUCAGUCCUAAACCAAUGGCAAACGUAAUGCUGAGCUUCAAUAUCCUUCUUGAUCAUCACACCGUAUGCAUGUUCACAGGGGAUCCCAGUGAUUUGCCAUCUUCUGCAGCUACAGGUCCUCGCCGUCAAGUCAACUCGAUAAGCACACCCGUGAAGUUUUAAAUAAUUUUGCAUGUUGGUAGAGGGUUGGACAAUGCAUUUCGAAGCAUCCUCAAGCAACUCAGCUAGGCACUUACUCACAUAUGGAGUACAAAUCCCUUGGUGGUUAAUAGCUUUGGCACUUCUCUUGGCUAUACGAACCAUUGCUAGUUUGGCAAUGGUCUCUAGCAUUGGCACUAAAGCUUUAUCUCUAGCUUUACCUGAAACAACAAUGAAACACAACUAUUAAAAAACCCACAAAUAUAAACAUUAACAGAAAAGCAGAGAUAGUUUCCUACCUAUAGAAUUGUUAAACGAUUCUACGGAAUUGUUUUCAACAUCUUCACAAUAUGGUCCAAGCUUGUAAAAUGUCCUGCACCAAGUCUCCGGCUUUGUUCUCAUCAAAUCAGCAUAGACAGCGUUGUCAAAGAGUUCUAUCUUCCUCAAGUUUUCUCUGAAUUCAGGUUUGUUGUAACUCCAAGCUAGAUUCCAAAUCAAGACUUCAAAUUUGAGGUUUGCAGUUUUUAUUUGUAUUUUAGUCAUCACAAUUAUAUAUUUCAUAAAUAAUCAUUUUAUUUUUUUAUGUUUAUCAGUUUAAUCCAAACAAUUUUAUAUCUCGCAUAUAUUUUAUAUUCAUUUGUAUAAAUUCUAUAUUUGCAUAUAAAAUAAAAUUAAAAAUACUAAUAUAAAAGAAAUAUUACAGAUAAAAAAAUAAAGAAACUCAUUUAACACUUCAAAAAAGCAUUGAUUGAUCAUAUUUUGAGAGCAUUAUGAAAAUAGUUUUGUUGAAUAAUUUGGUGUAAUGUAAUAAUACUUUAUCUUAUAAUGUAAUGUUUUGUUUUAUUAUAAAGUCUAUAAUAUAAAUUUAGUUAAUGAUAUUUUUAGUGUAUGUUUCUAUGUUAUUUAUAAAGUUAUAUAAUUUUAAUUAAUAAUAAUUAAAAUUAAAGACUAUGCAAUAUUUUAAAUUUUGUGAGAUUAGAUUUGAGGUUUUGCCUUUAGAGACAAACAUCAUCACACUUGAAGUUGUAUUUGGAGAUGUCCUAAACUGGAUUUAGACCAGAUUAAGACUGAUUGCAAUUAUGACCCGAACACAACCAAUCUUCUUCUUCUUCUUUUUUCCACCAUCUUAUAUACCCAUAAUCCUCAUAAUCUUGUGAUUUUAUCAUCUGGAUUUUCUUUUUUAAUUUAUCUCAUCUUCACUUCAAAUUUUAUUCUAAAAUUCUCUCCAAGAAAUGAGGGUUCAUCGAUGACAAUCUUCCUCAAAUCGUCUUUCCGUUUGAUCGAUCUGUUAUUCUCUAUCAAAAUCCAUGGAUGAUUUGUUAGAGUUAGAGUUAUCAAAAUUGCCGGAAAAUCAUUGUUAACCAAGUCAAUUCUCCGUUCAAACAAAGCUUAGAAAAACAAAUAUAUUCAAAAUUCUCUCAAGAACUCCACCAGAAACAGUCUGAAGAUUCAAAACCCUUCCUCCUCCUAUAACUACUGCCUAAUAAUAGAACAGCAAGACACUAUGAGCUCAUAGCGAAGGUUGAGGGACAAUGGAAUCUUACCUCAUGAGAAGCUAUGAGAUUUGGGGUUUUUAAUGAUGAUUCAUUUGUAUAUGAAAUAUGGGAAGAAGAGAGAUCUCUUCAAAUGAUUAACAGUAGAAAAAGACGAGAAGACAAGGAGGUAAGCUUUUCUGAUGCGAGUUCAUGAAAUGACAUUCUCAUCUCCAUUUCCUACGUGUCUAAUUAAUUUAUUCUUGUGUUGUUAUGCAGCUGAAGGGCAGAGCCUGGCAGUAUCAUGGGACGUGGGAAGAAGUAUAUAAAAGCGCAAAAAGGGCAGAUCGAAGUAAGAAUGAUCUACAUGAGAGGGACGAAGGUGAGCUGCUAAGAACGGGUCACCCUUUAUGCAUAUAUGAACCUUAUUUUGGUGAAGCAACCUGGUCGUUUCUACAUCAAUAUCCCCUCUAUCGUGGUGUCGGCCUGGUGAGUUCCCAUGUGCAAUAUAUACUGUUGUUGCAAGGAUACAAAAGAGGGAAAUAUUUCUAGACUGAUGUGAGUGCAUCAUAUUGCAGUCAGUUAAAGGACGGAAACCUAGGAUGGAUAAAUAUCGAUGCAUCUUCACGUCUUUCGCUUUUCAACAAUCAGUACUAUCGCGAUGCAUUUGGCGACUUUGGAGCACUUUUUGCAAUUCAAACAAGAUUAGCCGUUUACACAAAAAUUCGUGGAUUGGGUUUCAGUCCUAGAGAGCGACUGCCAGAAAGGUAAGUAUCUUUUGUGCAUAAAAAAAUCUUUCAUCAUUGCUAUAAUAGAAAUGUGUAUCGAGUAAUAAUAUUUACUUGUGAUGUAAUUCGGGACCCUUAAACAGGAAUCUCUAUCCAAGAUUGCUGAGGACGCAUUACUUAAUGCUAUACAAACACGGAAACACGGAGAUGCCUUAUAAUUUUUGGGUUCACAUGGACAAAGAUCGGAGACUCUCUCUGAAGAAACCCUUUUGGUCGCUCUGUGAUGUCAUAAAUGUUGGGAACUGCAGGUAAGACACUACAUAUAUCUUAAAACAUAGUUUCGAUAACAAUGUUUGAGGCUUUUUGCUCGUACUGUUUGCAAUUUAUGGGCUUGGGUCAAGGUUUGCUUUCGACGAAACUUUGAAAAAAAUGUACAGUAUCAAGAUUUUGGACUCACUGCAACCAAUGCCCGAGGACGGAUACGUGGUCUGUGAUACAGAGCUGGGCACCGCCAACAAGAUCCUUCUUAGAGUUUCUCAUGUUCUCAAGGUGUUUGCUUGUUACUGACUGUCUCAGUCUGAUCCUAAUUGGAAAGAAAAAAAAAAGUACUUAGAGGGUGUGAGUCUCUUGUUUGUGGGAUUCAUUGGAUGGACAGAUCUAUGAAGAACAUCAUCGAACAAACCGUUGCUAUCUGAGUGUAACUAAAGUAAGAAAUCCACUCCUUCUUCUUCCAAAGUUGAGAUAGGUUUAAGAUUCUAAUUCAGAUUAAUGCCUUUGGGUUUGGAUUUGAGUAAUGUGGAUACAGAGUGAGUCUCCUCAUCUUUUUUGAUGUUUAAGAGUGUUUUUUUGUGAUUGGUUUUAAGUAUCUGAUUUUGGGUUUUCUUUUUGACAAAACUUAUAAUGUGUUAGAUUAGCCAUGAUAUUGAUGAGGGUCCUCGGCUUAAAGUGGUGAAGAAAGAAUGGUUUGAGGGCAAGGAUUGUCUUGACAUUGGCUGCAAUAGCAGGAUUAUGACUAUCCAUAUUGGUAAGCUUCUUAUACAUUUGCUAAACACAUUUUUUGAAGAACACCGAAAAAUCCUUUCUUGGUACAAGAAUCUAAUGCCCCUAUUAUAUUUGUAGAUGUGGCCCUUUGUGAGUAUUUGUAUAGUUGUAUGGUUUCUACUGAUUUGAUUUCUUUAUGAGAAUGCUAUGUCAAAGUGGGAUUGGACUUUCACUGUCUUGGAUAUGUCUUUGUUAACAUCUUGCUUUUCUUUUUCUUCAGCUAAAAAGUUUAGUUGUCGGAGCAUUCUUGGAGUGGAUAUUAUUCAAGUAAGCACUAUUGGUUGUCGUAAUAUCUUCCAAGAUUUUUCUUUUUCAUAUAGGACAUAGAUUAAACUGUUAGCUACAUAUGUUAUCAUUCAAGUCUGGAGAAAAUGUUUAGUUUGAUUUAAUCUAGUAUCUCAUAUUAAGUCUUAACUCAAGUGAAACACAGAACAAUAGAUACUUUAAUCCAGAUAUGUAUUUUGGAAGCUUUCGUAAGUUUUAUCUUUCUGAAGUAAUUGUUUCCUGUGCAUUGAACUAGAUUUCCUUUGGCUGAAGGUCGCAUUGAGGAUGCUCACUAACAUCAUAAGAAGUUUGUGAGAAUGCAGAAUUCUGAUAGGCCAAAUGAAAAGAAAUAUAGCUCAUAGGGUUUGAAGGAGGAAUCUGUAUCCAUUUCCAAUGGUGUGACAAAGUCAGACAACCAAGAAACUAAAAACCUGUCUCAAAUUGUCUCGUUUCAGAAAGAGAAUUUUGUUCAAACUCAAAAAUUUGACGACAAUCGUUAUGAUACAAUUCUAUGGUAAAUUUCUUUUUAUUUUUGCCUGUUCUUUCACUCUGUAAGUUUGGUUUCUUCUUCUUGGAGAGAAUUGGCAACAAUUAAGAACGUUACCGAUUUUUUUGGUAAUGCUCAUACCACAAAAUACGUAUGAAACUCAACUACUGUAAUUUAGAAAAUAUUUGCCUGACGUUUUUGGCUAAAGAAAUCUUAUGUCACUAAGCCUUUUGAUCUCACUGUUUCCUAAAGGAGGUCUCAUCUUUAGUUGAAAUCCAAAUACAAACAGUUUUAUUGAUGACAUGUUUGCUCUUUGAUGCAGUUUGAGUGUGACAAAAUGGGUUCAUUUGAAUUGGGGUGACGACAGUUUGAUAACCUUGUUUUCAGAGAUUUGGCGUCUUUUUAACCCAGUAGCUACAUUGUACUUGAAUGUGUCCAUUUUCUCUUCUCAUAUGCGCAGCAAUUGACUGUUGUCUUUGCUUUUAAGGAUGGUAUUUUUGUAAUGGAACUUCAGCCUUGGAAAUCUUAUGAAAACAAUCGUCGUGUUUCAGAGGUGUGUAGAUACACAAAGUUUCUUUCUGAUUGCACAAGUUAGCUAUAUAUAUAAAGAGUUUUAAUCUGUGUUUGUCUUCUGUAAUUUGCAGACAACUGCAAUGAAUUACCGAAAUAUUGUUUUAUGUCUAGAGUAUUUCCAAAAAAUUCUUCUUGAUAAGGUACCCUUUCUACUCUAUUUACUUCCUUACUUUGCCUAUACUCUUACCUGAUCUAUAAAAUAUGCUAUGCAAGUAGUGUUGGCUUCUUUUACAUCAAGCUUGUCUGACUCAAGCAAAGGGUUUGAUAUACAAAUCCUUGCAUUCCAGAAAUGAACUUUAACAACUAGAAGCGUAAAUGAAGAAGAAUUUGAGUUUUUGAAAAGCCUUGUAAAAAAUCAAACUAAUUUUGAGAUUACACACAAGAUGUGAAGAAACAACUACAAGUCGCUUCAUAUCUGUAAAAGUCCUCAAGUAUAAAAGGAUUCUAAUUGUUUUACUUUUCUUUUAAUGGUUGUUGUGGAUUGUGGACUUGAUCUCUAGGUGUAGAGAUUCAAGGGAGAUUGCUUUCAAAAUUAUACGCUUUGGUGGUGUAUCUUUCGAUUUCAUAUCAAUAAAGGUUUUUCUUGAUCUUUUUUUCAGCAAAUCUAUCGUUUACAGAAUCAAUCAAACGUUAGAGGAAAUAUAACAACAACAAAAUAAAGUAUCUCAAGUGAUAAGGUUUUAAGCAGAUAUAAUCUUGAAAGGGCUGGUGACUGUCUUCUUCUUACUUCAUUCUUCAUAGUAAGGUCCUUUUCCAGAUAACAAAUCUGGGACUCGCCAUGCCGCCGAGAAUCCCUCAGAUGCUAUUGUAGACGUUUCGGGCUGAGCGAGCAUGAUUCUUAUGUUCUUCUCUUUGAGAUAUAUCAUACUCUUUUUGAAUUCUGGAUCACCCGUUAUCAAGAGAAAGACUGAGGGAAAAGGGCGAGGCUUUCUGAUGAGGUUGUGACGAGCCUUGCCAUAGAUAUCUCUCGUGAUCAUGAGAUCAGCAGCCUCCGGUUUAGCUAGAUGAAGUUUCAUAUCAAUAUUCAUUUUUCCCAAACCCGAUCUAGCCAACUCAUUACAUUGCUUGCACACGCAAUAUCGUUCUGGAGCAUAGCAGAACUUCAUAAAGCGUGGCAUGUUAUCAUUAGAAAAUGGAGAUUUUAACCCAUAGAAGCUAAUAUAAUCCACAACGUAAUUUUCAUUAAGACCCUUCUGAGAUUUGUUUAGAGCUUUGUCAAUCUGCUUUGUCAUAUGGUAGUCCGUUUACGUGAUUGCAUCGACAUGGUUAACAGAAGAGGAUGAUGACGACAAUGACGAUUAAUCAGGUUUAUCGACAAAACGAUAAAUCAGCCACCUUGACAAUUAAUCAGCCGCUUAGCCGCUGAUCAGUCCAACUGCCGCAAUUUUUGUAUGCGAAUAAUGAAUUUUAAACUGCCUAAAACAAAUUUCUUAUCGGGCCUAUUUACAAGCCCAAUUGGAGUGACCGAACACAGACUUCGAUCUUUGAUCCGCGACCUAAGCGAGAACGUUUC
rnacentral:lncRNA from 1 species